UAAUUUAUUAUAUGGUCUUAUCUCAAGGAAGAGGAAGACUUGUAUAAGUAGGAGUAUACAAGAAGAGCCACGCCGGCCCAGUUCAACUCGGUCUGCCUGCUGCUUUCCGAAAAGGCCUGGGCCUGGGGUGCACGGGACUAACAACGGAUUCGAACCGGAUUCUGUAGUAAAUAAACCGGGCUACUGUGGUGGCCAAAUUUAAUUGUUUCUAUGCUCAAAAAAAAUUUAAUUGUUUCUAGAACAUUUUGAGUUUCAAAUUUAUCAAAAGUUUCUGUAUAUGUGAACAUAUUUUAGUAUUUUGAAACGGAAACCAACAUUAAAAAUUUGUAAACAAUUUCUGAAAAUUAAAUAUUUCAUGUUUCUGUAUAUUUUUUAAUCCAAACUUUUUUUAAAAUUCUGAACACGUUUUAACACACGAAUGCUUUCUCAAAUUUUUAUUUUUUUCUAAAACAUGAAAAAAAUCGAAUUUGUGAACUUAUUUUUAAGAUGCAAACAUUUUUCUAAAGCUCUUUUUUUAUUUUUGGACUUUCAAUAAAAAGCUAAAAAAAUUGGAAAAUAAAAUCAUAAUUCCAGUGUUCCUAACAAACAAACAAACAAAAAUUAUUCCAGGGUUCCUAAAAUAAUAAAAACAAACAAACAAAAACCAGAACUAGAAUACACAUUAAAUGGGCCAGCCCAACCCGAUCGCUUUGACUCUUAAUGCGUCAAAUAGGAAACAUGGAGUGCAUACUCCAUCUCCGUCACCAGAGUCGACACCCUACAACCAGAUAUGAAGCCACCGAUCCAACAUCCACGCCAGUCCUAAAGCUGCACAUCGGCCCCGUCCGCAAGUCAGUCAUCCAAGCAACAACUACGACACUACACGUCUGGACUCUUUUGAUAGCUUUUCUUACUAUUCUCAAAAUGAGGGAUUGGGAUGGAUCAGCGAGAAAGUGUUGUUUUGAUCCCCAAGCUUAUGUGAGCUCGACUGAACAGUAAAAAAGGAAAAAAUGAUGCUCCAAAAUGCUUUUCUUCGUGAAAUGGACAAAUGUUUAUCUGCAUACAUAAUGUAGAACUGACAAAUCUAAAUACCCCACGCGAAAAAUGACCGUUGCCAGCAGACACCCAUGGGCACCAGGACGUACCCAGACCAAACAAAGAAAGCACGGCUUAUCGUGGGCACCCGAAGGACAGAGGCCCCGGGAUACCCGGACAUAACAUCCGCUAGGCAGAGGGGAGGGGAGGGCAGGGUCCAGGACCCCGGGCACACGAACUGUCUAGAGACUUGGCGCAUACUCUGGGCACCCGGGGGUCCAGGGACCCCCGGGGACCCAUACAAGGCCGAGCCUAGACAAUUUUCCUCUCGUGCCUAUGGGCACCCUGGGUCAAAGGACUCCAGGUGCUCGAAACAAAUUGCAAAUCCAGGAAACACCCAAAACUGCCAUAGCUUUUGCAAAUGAACUUUGAUUUUGAUGAACUCAAGCUUAAUAGAAAGCUGGCGACAAGACCUUCCAAAAGAAUAUACUAAAGAUCUAGAAGUAUGAAAUCUCCAUAAAUGAAGAACCGACAAAACCUCCAACCUCAAAAACGUAAUAGAAGAUGCAUAGAAAAUCCAUUUGAGGUUGUCAUGAAGAUAACCACAAGCUCUAAAACCUCAUAUAGAGAAAAUCCAAACAAGAACCAAAUAAGAUGAUGCCAAGGAUGCAAAUGUUUGAGCUCUCUAUGAAUGAUACGAUCAAGCUACUCACUAGAGAACCCCCCCCCAUUGAUAGUAUGGCUAUCGAUCCAAUAACCCGGUCUCCCAACUAACAUCAUGAGACCGAUAAGAUAGAAAGCCUAUCAAGGUUAUACAUUUGCCUUGCGUAUAGUCCACUUGAGAUAGAUGAUGAUGAUCUUGACCUCCUCAAGUUAGACCACCUUUCUUGUUUGUGUUGGCUUGAUGAAGACUAGCAAAUUGCUCCCCCAUACUCCACUAUGGGAGAGCCUCUCUUAGGCACAUCUUCACAUGUCCAUUAUCACCAUAAUGGAUGGCAAGCCACAACCAUGUGAUAUCUCUUCAUGAUGCUUCACUUGAACAUGCACAACUCAACUUUGAUGACGACCACCACUUGAUGUCAUACUCCAUGGGUUAUAUGAGAUCUUCCUUUUGAUGAAAGCCCAUGGAAAAAUACCUAACCCCACUACAAAAAAACACUUUCGUGAUAAUAUGUGUUUGUUAAAGUAGGUCACGUUUUCUACGCAAUUUUAUGACAGAAUCAAGAUAGUCAUAUCUGUGUUGUCGUAGAAAUGUUCUAUGACAAUAAUCCCUUUAUCAUCACAGAAGUGUUCACUUUUGUGACGAUAAAUGGUGCGUCUUGGAAGUGCUUUCGUCAAGGGUAACAGACACGUGGCAACCACAGUAACGGGUCGCCGUUAAGGUAACGAGUGCCGGUUUUGGAUCCAAUACCCGGUAACAUCACCGACCAAUGACGAUUUCCACGUGUCAUUUUCUCAUUCGACAAUAGAAUCACUUGUCAGCUCUGUGUUGCGACAGGUGUCGCCCAUCCACUGGACAAUACAUGCUAAUGAAAUGCCAAAACAUGGCAUGACCCUCUAGUGGCCCGUUUACAUAAUAAGGUCGGCCCAGUCAAAAUUAGUAGGCCAACCCAUUUAGGGCCUACUUGCAUCUCGCCCAUUUACAACCACGACUGAUAUGUGUCCAUCAUAUCUACUUUUCCAUAGACUUUUGCUCUUUUUUUGAACUCUUAUUUGCAUGAAUUGAAUGAAACUAUCCCGAACCAACAUUGUUUUCAGGAGAACUACCAUGGUGUUGUUUUCUGUGUAGAAAUAAAAUUUCUCAGAAUUAGAACAAACUUUGGAGAUUUUUAUUGAAUAAAUAACAAGAUACUCGAACGAAGAUCCAUCGAAGGGGGCCACUAGUUGCUCACAAGGCAAAAGGGUGCACCCUGAUGCCUUGUGGGCUCCACAUGGGGCCGUCUGACCUAAUUCCAAACCUAUAAAUUAUGUUUCCCCGUGAAAAAAGAGAAGGAGUGUCAUCGUGUUUUAUGAUACAGAGCCUGUUAGAAAUAAUCUUGAGUUAGUCGCAAGUCUAGGUUGCCGUGUGAUUAGUAGUCCGGUUUGGACUACGCUAGUUAUUUAGCUAUAGGCAAGUGUCCAUGUUUUGUACGAGGACUAGUACAUGAUGAAAAGAUAGUUUGUACAGGGGAAAUGACUUGUGUCUAGUAGUAGUCCGCGUAGGUAUAGGAGGUCAAGCUUGAGUCGGUUUGCUAGGGGUCGGCUAGGUUCAUGGCUGCAUAUUUAUAUAUGCAGCAGAUCCUACAGAUUGUAUCAACGUGGAGAAAACAGAAAAUAAAAAGAAGAGGAACGAAGGGCACGACAAGAGCCCUUGGCUAUAAAGUUUUUUGUGCGCGCCUCUGUCGUGAUUUGAUGUAAUCGAUCUUGUGGACGAGUUCCAACAAUUGGUAUCUAGAGCAAGGUCGAUUUGGAGCUGCGCUUGCCCCGGGGUUGCGACCCGACUAGCGCCUCGGGGCGGGCGAUAUGGUCGCUGGGUGGUACAUCGAUGAGGAAAAGCGGGCCAUGAAGUUGCUGGGUGGUGCAGCGAUGAGGAGGAUCGGGCCAUUGUCGUUUGGCGGAGCGACAAGGCAGGAGAUGGCAGGCUGUCGUCCGCAAGGCGGUGGAAGAUGAUUGUUGAUGGGAGCGGUGGUACCGAGCUAUGGUGCCGGAAGUUCAUCAAGAUCAUCGUCUGCGGGAGUUUGAUGAGUCAAGGAGUCGUGCGAGUCAACACGUCUCGGUCGGUCGGUCAUCAUCGUUGUGUCAGCGUCGUCAUGUCCAAGUGCUCGUCUUUGGGAGGAGGCGUUGAAGAUGAAGCCCAUCCAGAUCGCCUAUGUGUCUCGACGAGAGGAUCAAGUUCAACUAUGUGGGGGCGGUAAACCAGUGAAGGUGAGUCUCUUCAAUGAGGCCAUGUCUCUACAUGAGGCUGGAGUGGGCUGUGUAGUCCAUAAGGUGGUGUGAUCCACAAGGAGUCGGCAUGUAUCUUGCUAGGGUGGAUGGUGAAGUCCACCGGGUGGGGUAUUCCACAUGUUACUGACGAGGCUGGGUAGUCCAAGGCAUAAUUGAAGUGGUCCGUAAAUUCGCCAAGUUAAAAUUUGGAAGAGAUUGUUACGAUCAAUGAAGCCUAGCAAUUUAACUUGUUGUGGUGCGAGCGGAUGAGUCGACAAGGGAGAAUCAUCAAUAAGCCAAGACCGGAGAAGUAUCAGAAGACAAGAGGAGAUUGUUAGAAAUAAUCUUGAGUUAGUCACAAGUCUAGGUUGCCGUGUGAUUAGUAGUACGGUUUGGACUACGCUAGUUAUUUAGCUAUAGGCAAGUGUCCAUAUUUUGUAUGAGGACUAGUACAAAAAGCUAGUUUGUAUAGGGAAAAUGACUUGUGUCUAGUAGUAGUCCGCGUAGGUAUAGGAGGUCAAGCUUGAGUCGGUUUGCUAGGGGUCGGCUAGGUUCAUGGCUGCAUAUAUAUAUAUGCAGCAGAUCCUACAGAUUGUAUCAACGUGGAGAAAACAGAAAAUAAAAAGAGGAGAAGCAAAGGGCACGAUAAGAGCCCUUGGCUAUAAAAGUUUUUUGUGCGUGCCUCUGUCGUGAUUUGAUGUGAUCGAUCCUGUGGGCGGGUUCCAACAGAGCCGCCACCACCUCCUGUUCUUCAUCGGGAGGGCUGUUCUUGAGUCCGUCCGAGGCUCCGGAGAGGGGGAUUCGUCGGCAUCAUCAUCACCAACCCUUCUUUAUCAAAAAUUCCAUGAUGCUCACCAUCGGAAGUGAGUAAUUCCUUCGCAGGCUUGCUGGACGGUGAUGGAGUUGGAUGAGAUUUAUCAUGUAAUCGAGUCAAUUUGUUAGGGCAUGAUCCCUUGUAUCCACUAUGUUUCGAGAUUGAUGUUGCUAUGAAUUUACUAUGUUUAAUGCUUGUCACUAGGGCCCGAGUGCCAUGAUUUCAGAUCUGAAUCCUCUAUGUUUUCAUUAACACAUUUGAGUUCUUGAUCCUAUCUGCUAGUUAUAUGCACUUGUCAUUGUUCUGAUCCGUAGACCCCAAAGUAACAAUAGUUGGGAUACUCUCCAGGGAUAAUUGUAAUUCGAGGAGUUUAGGUAUUCACUAUUUGCUAAUGCUUUGUUCCGGCUCUCUAUUAAAAGGAUGCCUUAAUAUCCCUUAGUUUCCUUAUGGACCUCGCCGCCAAGGGAGGGUCGGACAAAAGAUGUCAUGCAAAUCUUAUUAUAAGCAUGUAUGACUAUAUACGGAAUACAUGCCUAGAUUAUAUUGAUAAAUUGGAGCUAUUGUGUAUCGCUCUAGGUUGUGACUGUUAUAUGAUGAAUGAUACGUCCAUUUUGCAUCAUGUUUUCCUAUUGUUAUUUACAAUGUUUUUGUGCAUAAUAAUGCUUUUGGAGUAAUACUAAUGUCUUUUCUCUCAUAAUAUGCAAGGCUUGCACAAAGAGGGAGAAUAUCGGCAGCUGGAAUUCUGGACAUGAAAAAGCUACGUCAGAGUUACCUAUUCUGCAUAUAUCCAAAUGAGCUGAAAAUUUACGGAGAAUUGUUUUGCAAUAUAUAAAAAAUAAUGGAGAAAAUAACUACCGGAGGGGGCCCACCAGGUGGGCACAACCCACCCGGGUGCGCCGUGCAGCCCAAGCGCGCCGGGCAGCCCAGGCGCGCCCUGGUGGGUUGUGCUCAGCCCAGCCCACCUCCGGUGCCCAUCUUCUUGUAUAUAGGUCAUUUUGACCUAGAAAAAAUCAGGGCGAGACUUUCGGGACGAAGCGCCGCCAUCUUGAGGUGGAACUUGGGCAGGAGCACUUUUUCCUUCCGACGGAGCGAUUCUGCUGGGGGAACUUCCCUCCCGGAGAGGGAAAUCAUCGCAAUCAUCAUCGCCAACAACUCUCCCAUCUUUGAGAGGGCAAUCUCCAUCAACAUCUUCAACAACAGCAUCUCCUCUCAAACUCUAGUUCAUCUCUUGUGUUCAAUCUUUGUACCGGAACCUUAGAUUGGUACUUGUGGGUGACUAGUAGUGUUGAUUACAUCUUGUAGUUGAUUACACUAGUAGAAAAAGGGGCUUUCAUUCGGGCCUGGCCAGCCUAUUAGUCCCGGUUCUGCCAUGAACCGGGACCAAUGGAUGCAUUCGUCCCGGAUCGUGAGCCCAGGGGGCCGGCCAGGGCCUCGUGGGCAUUGGUCCCGGUUCGUCUGGGCCCAUUUGUCUCGGUUCUUGGCACGAACCGGGACCAAUGGGCCUCGCUCCUGGCCCACAAACAUUGGUCCCGGUUCUUGGCUCGAACCGGGACAGAAGGCUGGGCUUUAGUCCCGGUUCCAGCCAUGAACCGGGACAAACGAGUUCCCUAUAUAUGCCCCAUCGCCGGCGAGCAGAGCACUCCACAGUGCUCUGUUUUUGCUGGCCGGCGAGGAAGGGCAUUUGGGUGCUCUAGCUCACCUCUUAUGCAUGUGAGGUGUUCGAUGAAAUGCCCGAGCCACACUAGUUAAGCUUUCUCCUCUCGAAGCUCGACCUCCGAGCUCCAUUUUUUCCGAGAUUUGUCUAGGUUUAGCGGUCCGUCACGCCCCAUCCUCGUCUUCACCGCCGUCGAUCGCCCGCGCCGAUCUCGUCACCGACACCACCGUGGUGAGCCUCUUGUUCUUAUCUUCUUUCUGGAAGAAAAAAAUCUUACUUUAGAUAGAUAAUUGUCUAAUUUUCUUACUUUUGACACACAUAAUUAUAUAAUGCACGCAGAUGAACCGGCAAUGGAUGUACGGUGACAGACACACCUCCGAGUACAUUAAGGGCAUGCAUAAAUUUCUCGAAGUGGCCGAGGCAAACAAGCAGAAUGGUUUUAUGUGUUGUCCAUGCCCUGAUUGUGGGAAUACGAGGUCUUACUCUGACAAGAAAAUCCUUCACACCCACCUGCUUUAUAAGGGUUUCAUGCCACACUAUAAUGUUUGGACGAAGCACAAAGAAAUAGGGGUUAUGAUGGAAGACAACGAAGAAGAGGACGAUGACAACUAUGUGCCCCCUGAAUACAGUGAUGCUGCAACGGGGGAAGCUGAAGAUCAAGAAGAAGCUGAAGAUCAAGAGGAACCAGACGAUGUGCCCGAUGAUGAUCUCCGCCGGGUCAUUGUUGAUUCAAGGGAAAAGUGCAAAAGUGAAAAGGAGAAGCUGAAGUUCGAUCGCAUGUUAGAGGAUCACAAAAAAGGGUUGUACCCCGAUUGCGAAGAUGGCAACACAAAGCUCGGUACCAUACUGGAAUUUCUGCAGUGGAAGGCAGAGAGUGCUGAAAAUAUUGAAGAAGAAGCUUCCAAAAGGAUAACGAAUUGCCUGACAGUACGUACGCAACAAAGAAGGUCGUAUGCCCUCUAGGAUUGGAGGUGGAGAAGAUACAUGCAUGCCCUAAUGACUGCAUGCAUCCUCUACCGCGGUGCGUACAAGGAUUUGAACGCAUGCCCGGUAUGCGGUGAAUUGCGGUAUAAGAUCAGACGAGAUGACCCUGGUGAUGUUGAGGGCGAGCCCCGCAGGAAGAGGGUUCCUGCGAAGGUGAUGUGGUAUGCUCCUAUAAUACCAUGGUUGAAAUGACUGUUCAGAAACGAAGAGCAUGCCAAGUUGAUGCUAUGGCACAGAGAUGACCGUAAGAAAGACGGGAAGUUGAGAGCACCCGCUGAUGGGUCGCAGUGGAGAAAAAUUGAGAGAAAGUACUGGGAUCAGUUUGCAAGUGACCCAAGGAACGUAUGGUUUGCUUUAAGUGCGGAUGGCAUUAAUCCUUUCAGGGAGCAGAGCAACAAUCAUAGCACCUGCCCCGUGACUCUAUGUAUGUAUAACCUUCCUCCUUGGAUGUGCAUGAAGCGGAAGUUCAUUAUGAUGCCAAUUCUCAUCCAAGGCCCUAAGCAACCCGGCAACGACAUUGAUGUGUACCUAAGGCCAUUAGUUGAAGAACUUUUACAGCUAUGGAAUGGAAACGGUGUACGUGCAUUGGAUGUGAGCACAAACAGCAGGAAUUUAACCUGCAUGCGUUGCUGUUUGUAACCAUCAAUGAUUGGCCCGCCCUCAGUAACCUUUCAGGAUAGAUAAACAAGGGAUACCACACAUGCACGCACUGUUUAGCUGACACCGAAAGUAUAUACCUGGACAGAUGCAAGAAUAAUGUGUACCUGGGCCAUCAUCGAUUUCUCCCGACCAACCAUCAAUGUCGAAAGAAAGGCAAGCAUUUUCAAGGCGAGGAAGAUCACCGGAAGAAGCCUGCCAUGCGUACCGGUGAUCACGUACUUGAUAUGGUCUCUGAUUUACACGUAAUAUUUGGAAAGGGUCCCGGCGGACUAGCUGUUCCGAAUAACGCCGAGGGACGCACACCCAUGUGGAAGAAGAAAUCUAUAUUUUGGGAUGCUUUUCAAUCGACGUGAUGCACGUGACGAAGAACCUUUGCGUGAACCUGUUAGGCUUCUUGGGUGUGUAUGGGAAGACAAAAGAUACGCCUGAGGCACGGGAGGACCUGCAACGUUUGCACGAAAAAGACGGCAUGCCUCCAAAGCAGUAUGAAGGUCGCGCCAGCUACGCUCUUAUCAAAGAAGAGAAGGAAAUGUUUUUUGAAUGCCUUCUCAGUAUGAAGGUCCCGACUGGCUUCUCAUCGAAUAUAAAGGGAAUAAUAAAUAUUCCAGAGAAAAAGUUCCAGAACCUAAAGUCUCAUGGCUGCCACGUGAUUAUGACGCAACUGCUUCCGGUUGCAUUGAGGGAGCUGUUGGGGAUCGUUGCAGAAAUUAAAAUAUUUCUACGCAUCACCAAGAUCAAUCUAUGGAGAGACUAGCAAAGAGAGAGAGGGGAGUGCAUCUUCAUACCCUUGAAUAUCGCGAUGCGGAAGCGUUACAAGAACGCGGAUGAAGGAGUCGUACUCGUAGCGAUUCAGAUGACGGUUGAUUCUGAUCUAAGCGUCAAACAACGGCGCCUCCGCGUUCAACACACGUACAGCCGGGGGACGUCUCCUCCUUCUUGUGUUCCGAUCAAGGGGCGAGGAGAAGUUGAGAGAGAGCUCCGGCAGCACGACGGCGUGGUGGUGGAGCUUGCAGUUAUCCGGCAGGGCUUCACCAAGCACUACUAAGGAGGAGGAGGUGUUGGGGAGGGAGAGGGCUGCGCCAGGGGAAGGGCUGCGGCUCCUAUGCGCCUCCCCACUAUAUAUAGGGGUGGAGGGGCUGGUUUCUUGCCCUGCAAGUCCAUCGGGGCAUUGGCAAAGGUGUGGAAAAGAAAUCCCAUCAUUUCCCUUCCCCACCGAUUGUUAUCCCCUUUUUUUAGGGAUCUUGAUCUUAUCCCUUCGGGAUAUGAUCUUAUUCCUUCUAAGGGGGGAUCUUGGUGAGCGUUGACCAGGGGUGUGGGGCCUUGCCCCCACUACCCAUGUUCAUGUGGGUCCCCCCAUGCAGGUGGGCCCCACUCCGGAACCUUCUAGAACCUUCCCGGUACAAUACCAAAAAAUCCCGAACAUUUUCCGGUGGCCAAAAUAGGACUUCCCAUAUAUAAAUCUUUACCUCCGAACCAUUCUGGAACUCCUGAUGACGUCCGGGAUCUCAUCCGGGACUCCAAAAAGCAUUCGCUAACUGCACACUAAUUCCCAUAACAACUCUAGCGUCACUGAACCUUAAGUGUGUAGACCCUACGGGUUUGGGAAUCAUGCAGACAUGACCGAGACAGCUCUCUGGCCAAUAACCAACAACGGGAUCUGGAUACCCAUGUUGGCUCCCACAUGUUCCACGAUGAUCUCAUCGGAUGAACCACGAUGUCGGGGAUUCAAUCAAUCCUGUAUACAAUUCCCUUUGUCAAUCGGUACGUUACUUGCCCGAGAUUCGAUCGUCGGUAUCCCAAUACCUCGUUCAAUUUCGUUACCGGCAAGUCACUUUUACUCGUUCCGUAACACAUCAUCCCGUGAUCAACUCUUUGGUCACAUUGAGCUCAUUAUGAUGAUGUCCUACCGAGUGGGCCCAGAGAUACCUCUCCGUCACACGGAGUGACAAAUCCCAAUCUCGAUUCGUGCCAACCCAACAAACACUUUUGGAGAUACCCGUAGUGUGCCUUUAUAGCCACCCAGUUACGUUGUGACGUUUGGCACACCCAAAGCAUUCCUACGGUAUCCGGGAGUUGCACAAUCUCAUGGUCUAAGGAAAUGAUACUUGACAUUAGAAAAGCUUUAGCAAACGAACUACACGAUCUUGUGCUAUGCUUAGGAUUGGGUCUUGUCCAUCACAUCAUUCUCCUAAUGAUGUGAUCCCGUUAUCAACGACAUCCAAUGUCCAUGGUCAGGAAACCGUAACCAUCUAUUGAUCAACGAGCUAUUCAACUAGAGGCUUACUAGGGACAUAUUGUGGUCUACAUAUUCACACAUGUAUUACGGUCUCCGGUUAAUACAAUUAUAGCAUGAACAAUAGACAAUUAUCAUGAACAAGGGAAUAUAAUAAUAACCAUUUUAUUAUUACCUCUAGGGCAUAUUUCCAACAGUCUCCUACUUGCACUAGAGUCAAUAAUCUAGUUCACAUCACUAUGUGAUUGUAAUGAAUCCAACACCCAUGGGGUUUGAUCAUAUCUCGCUUGUGAGAGAGGUUAUUAGUCAACGGGUCUGAACCUUUCAGAUCCGCGUGUGCUUUACAAAUCUCUAUGUCAUCUUGUAGAUGCAGCUACCAUGCGCUACUUGGAGCUAUUCCAAAUAACUGCUCUACUAUACGAAUCCGGUUUACUACUUAGAGUCAUCCGGAUUAGUGUCAAAGUUUGCAUCAACGUAACCCUUUAUGACGAACUCUUUUACCACCUCCAUAAUCGAGAAAAUUCCUUAGUCCACUAGUUACUAAGGAUAAGUUUGACCGCUUUCAUGUGAUCCAUUCCUGGAUCACUCUUGUACCCCUUGAUUGACUCAUGGCAAGGCACACUUCAGGUGCGGUACACAACAUAGCAUACUGUAGAGCCUGCGUCUAAAGCAUAGGGGAUGACCUUCGUCCUUUCUCUCUCUUCUGCCGUGGUCAGAUCUUGAGUCUCACUCAAUGCUCACACCUUAUAACACAGCCAAGAACUCCUUCUUUGCUGAUCUUAUUUGAACUCCUUCAAAAUCUUGUCACGGUAUGUAUUCAUUUGAAAGUACUAUUAAGCGUUUUUUAUCUAUCCUUAUAGAUCUUGAUGCUCAAUGUUCAAGUAGCUUAAUCCAGGUUUUCCAUUGAAAAAUACUUUUCAAAUAACCCUAUAUGAUUUCCAAAAAUUCUACAUCAUUUCUGAUCAACAAUAUGUCAACAACAUAUACUCAUCAGAAAUUCUAUAGUGCUCCCACUCACUUCUUUGGAAAUACAAGUUUCUCAUAAACUUUGUAUAAACCCAAAAUCUUUGAUCAUCUCAUCAAAGCAUAUAUUCUAACUCUGAGAUACUUACUCCAGUCCCUAGAAAGAUUGCUGGAGCUUUGCAUACUUGUUAGCAUCUUUUAGGAUUGACAAAAACCUUCUGGUUGUAUCACAUACAACCUUUCCUCAAGAAAAUUGUCGAGGAAACAAUGUUUUGACAUCCUAUAUGCAAGAUUUCAUAAAUAAUGCAGUAACUUCUAAUACAAUUCCAACAGACUCUUAGCAUUGCUACGAGUGAGAAAGUCUCACUGCAAUCAACUCCUUGAACUUGUCGGAAAACAUCUUAACGACAAGUCGAGCUUUCUUAAUGGUGAUACAUACCAUCAUUGUCCGUCUUCCUUUUAAAAUCCAUUUGUACCCAAUAGCCUUACGACCAUCAAGUAGUUCUUCCAAAGUCUAUACUUUGUUUUCACACAUGGAUCCUCUUAGAUUUUAUGGCCUCGAGCCAUUUGUCGGAAUCCAGGCCCACCAUCAUUUCUCCAUAGCUCGUAGGUUCAUUUUUGUCUAGCAACAUGAUCUCCAAGACAGGAUUACGUACCACUCUGAAAUAGUAUUCAUCCUUGUCGACCUACGAGGUUUGGUAGUGACUUGAUCCGAAGUUUCAUGAUCACUAUCAUCAGCUUCCACUUCAAUUGGUGUAGGUGCUACAGGAACAACUUCAUGUGCCUUGCUACACUCUGGUUGAAGUGACGGUUCAAUAACCGCAUCAAGUCUCCACCAUCCUCCCACCCAAUUCUUUCGAGAGAAACUUUUCCUCGAGAAAUGACCUAUUUCUAGAAACAAUCACUUUUGCUUCCGGAUCCGAAAUAGGAGGUAUACCCAACUGUUUUUGGUGUCCUAUGAAGAUGCAUUUAUCCGCUUUGGGUUCGAGCUUAUCAGGCUAAACCCUUUUCACGUAAGCAUCGCAGCCCCAAACUUUUAAGAAAUGAUAGCUUAGGUUUCUCUAAACCAUAGUUCAUACGGUGUCAUCUCAACGGAAUUACGUGGUUCCUUAUUUAAAGUGAAUGCGGCUGUCUCUAAUGCCUAACCCAUAAACGAUAGUGGUAAUUCGAUAAGAGACAUCAUGGUUUGCACCACAUCCAAUAGGGUGCAGCUAUGAUGUUCGUGUAACAUCCCAAAUUUUCAAUUUGGAAUGUUAUACAUUAGAUCAUCAAUGCAUACCAUAUUUUAUUUUGCAUUUUGGUUGAUCCUAGAAAUUCUACGCAACUCAAUGACCCAUGGAGAGAGUUGGGGAUUUCGUUAUUUUCAUAUUUGAGUUUUCUCAAAUUUUGAGGAUAGGAUCAUUUGAUUUUAUUUAUUUUAUCAUCAAUUAUUUCUAUUACAAAAAAAUAUGAGAGAGGGAAUAAAAUGACUUUCCCAAAAUAAAGAAAUAUUGAGGAUUUAAUAAUAAAAUCACAUAAGAUUUUAUUUCGGAAUUUUUUGGUGUUUUAUUUGAAUUUAGGAAAAAUGUGUGUUUUUCAAAAUUGCAUUUAGGUCCCAAAUAAAUGUUCAUGUUAUGCGGCUUGAUUUUAGAAGCCCGUGAAAAUUUAUUUUGGAUAUUUUGGAGUCCGUUUAGUAUUUCUUUUUAUUUUUCUUCCGAGUGGAAUAAUUAAAAAAAAACCGACCUAUGGCCGUGUCCGACUAGGACUCCGGCCCGAGGGGGGCCUUUAUAAGCGGAGGCCCAGCCCCGGGGAAACCCUAGCCGCCCCAGCCCCAAGCCACGCCGCCGCCUGCGCCCGCCGCCGCGCCGCCGCCUGCUGCGGNNNNNNNNNNNNNNNNNNNNNNNNNNNNNNNNNNNNNNNNNNNNNNNNNNNNNNNNNNNNNNNNNNNNNNNNNNNNNNNNNNNNNNNNNNNNNNNNNNNNNNNNNNNNNNNNNNNNNNNNNNNNNNNNNNNNNNNNNNNNNNNNNNNNNNNNNNNNNNNNNNNNNNNNNNNNNNNNNNNNNNNNNNNNNNNNNNNNNNNNNNNNNNNNNNNNNNNNNNNNNNNNNNNNNNNNNNNNNNNNNNNNNNNNNNNNNNNNNNNNNNNNNNNNNNNNNNNNNNNNNNNNNNNNNNNNNNNNNNNNNNNNNNNNNNNNNNNNNNNNNNNNNNNNNNNNNNNNNNNNNNNNNNNNNNNNNNNNNNNNNNNNNNNNNNNNNNNNNNNNNNNNNNNNNNNNNNNNNNNNNNNNNNNNNNNNNNNNNNNNNNNNNNNNNNNNNNNNNNNNNNNNNNNNNNNNNNNNNNNNGCCGUCGCUGGACGCCGCCGCCGCCACCGAGGUUCGCCGCGCCUCGACUUCUGUGCCAACGGUUUUUUUUAAAAAUAGAUCGGUUUUCGUCGGUUUUUUUAGAUUCGGUUUUUUUAAAUAGAUCGGUUUUCCCGGUUUAUUUAAAUAGCGAGCGUUCGUCCGUUCGUUCGUUCUAGCGAGCGUUCGUCGUUUUUCUUUUUCUCGGAUUAAAUCCGCGAUUUUUCUGAUCGCGAUUCCUGAUCCGAUUUUCGUUUUAGUAUAACUUUUCGCUCGUUUAUCGGAAUCAGGUGAUUCAAGCGCCUAGAGUUUCGUCUCGAAACCCUCUAUCCGUUUAACCAACUUAAACAAGAUUUUGCUAAUGUAAAUUUUGCCUUAGAUCCAGAUUACUAGAACAAAGUUGUUUUCUUCCGCCGUUUGACUUUCGUUGCUUCGUUCGAUUUGAUUCUUUUUGCCAACCGGAGUUCUUAAGUUGAACCUUCUGGUUAGAUCUCUUAUUUGAGUUUUACCCGUGCAUUAGAUGAGUACUUAUUGUAUGCUUGUUUGUUUGUCCGCGAUAGAAUACCUGGAGUGCGCCGCCUGUUACUUCAAAUCGUUAGGUUUCCCGGAUCAUCAGCAAGGCAAGUAACACUUUGAUCAUACCUUUUCUACUACGCAGUUUUAUUGCAUUAGAUCAAUCCUCACACAUUGCAUGAUUAGGAUCUAAUUAAAUUGUGGGAUGGGAAGUAGUUGAGGUAGUACCUAUUACCUGUGUAUUAUGAAACCUUUGGGAGUUACUUCUACGUUUGCUUAUUAUGCCAUGCUAUGCUAGUAGACGUGGAUUGGGUGAGUGAUAUCCAUGACAGAUGUGAGAUUGUUAAUUAAUGGUUUAUCUAAGGUGGCAACUUAAACACACAUCUGGGUGGAUUGAGGCACCUGGGUAUUCCAGGACUUGCCUGUUUUCUUUUGGACCGCCACCCAGGCUCAAAGGGAUCAUGAGACUAUUCAUACUAGAAACUUCCGUGUGCAGCCACAAUCUAUUAUGGGCUCUAGCAUAAUUGACUAAGUUGUGCGAACUCUUACAGUGGUAGACUAGCAGAUGUAGGGGAUGUAGGUGGUACGGUCUACCCGAUCGUAAGGUGCUAGCGCUUCUGAAAGACUAUGUCUCGGUCAUCCGUGGUCUCAAACACCUUGUAGUGCGAGAAACCAAACGGAGGCGAUCGAGUCUUGUAGGGAAAAGUGUGCAAACCUCUGUAAAGUGUAAUAAACUAAUCAUGGUUAGCCCCAUCCCCGGUUAUGGACAUCUUGAGUAUCUAGUACUUGGAUUAUCAUGUGAAUCUCAACAUGUUACUCUAAAUUAAUUUUGUUGGGUUAUGUUUAAUGAUGAUGCUUAAUAGGGAUUGAGAAUGCUGUCAACCAUUCUCAAUGUUUAACAACUACCAUGAUAGUAAUUAAAUAUAUUCCUUUGAAGUAGGGAAAAAUUGGCUUUACGCAAAAUUGUAACCAUAGAGCUUUCCACCAGCCAAAUAUGCAUAUAGUAUAGUUGUUUCAUUCCAUUACUCUCUAUGUGUUACCUUGCCAGCAUAUUCCAUGUGCUGACCCGUUUUCGGGCUGCAACGUUAAUGUUGCAGACUUUUCAGAUGACGAUUAAGGAGUUUUUAGGUCGUGGUUCUAUACUCAGUGAUGCCGUUGGAUUUGAUGGACUCACUUAUCUUCCAAGCCUUCCGCUGUUAUCAUUAUUAGAUGGCCUUAAGCCAUAUUUAUUGUAAUAAGUUCUCUUUUGAGACGCUCGAUGUAAUAAGUGUGUGAUUGCUACUCUGCUAUAAAUCCUCCGAGUACUGUGUGGUGUUAGCAUUACUGAUCCAGGGAUGACACCGGAGCACAGAGAUCAGACCGUUUGAGGUCUGGUCGCUACAGUUCGGACACACCAUCACACUAUGGUGUUCCAGGCGGCAUUAGUUGUGAAAUAGUUUCCACAAUGUCUUAGUUGUGUACCAAACACGUAACUCAGAUAUUCAUCUCUAUGAUCAUAUCAUAGACAUUUUACCCUCUUGUCACGACGAUCUUCAACUUCACUCUGAAAUUACUUGAACCUUUCAAUAAUCCAGACUCGUGUUUUAUCAAGUAAAUAUACUUAGAAUCUACUCAAAUCAUUUGUGAAGUAAGAGUAUAACAAUAUUCACUGCGUGCCUCAGCACUCAUUGGAUUGCACACAUCAAACGUAUUACUUCCAACAAGUUGCUCUCUUGUUUCAUCUCACUGAAAACGAGGCCUUUCAGUCAUCUUGCCCACGUGGUAUGAUUUGCAUGUCUCAAGUGAUUCAAAAUCAAGUGAGUCCAAACGAUCCAUCUGCAUGGAGUUUCUUCAUGCGUAUAAACCAAUAGACAUGGUUCGCAUGUCUCAAACUUUUCAAAAAAUGAGUGAGUCCAAAGAUCCAUCAACAUGGAGCUUCUUCAUGCGUUUUAUACCAAUAUGACUCAAAUGGCAGUGCCACAAGUAUGUGGUACUAUCAUUACUAUCUUAUAUCUUUUGGCAUGAACAUGUGUAUCACUAUGAUCGAGAUUCAGUGAACGAUUCAUUUUAGGUGCAAGACCAUUGAAGGUAUUAUUCAAAUAAAUAGAGUAACCAUUAUUCUCCUUAAAUGAAUAACCGUAUUGGAUAAACAUAAUCCAAUCAUGUCUAUGCUCAACGCAAACACCAAAUAACAAUUAUUUAGGUUUAACACCAAUCUCGAUGGCAGAGGGAGCAUGCGAUGCUUGAUCACAUCAACCUUGGAAACACUUCCAACACAUAUCGUCAUCUCACCUUCAGCUAGUCUCCGUUUAUUCCGUAGAUUUUUAUUUCGAGUUACUACCACUUAGCAACCGAACCGAUAUUUAAUACCCUGGUGCUACUAGGAGUACUAGUAAAGUACACAUUAUAAUGUAUAUCCAAUAUACUUCUAUCGACCUUGCCAGCCUUCUCAUCUACCAAGCAUCUAGGGUAGUUCUGCUUCAGUGGUCGUUCCCCUCAUUUCAGAAGCACUUAGUCUCGGGUUUGGGUUCAACCUUGGGUUUCUUCACUAGAGCAGCAAUUGAUUUGCCGUUUCAUGAAGUAUCUCUUUCUUGCCCUUGCCCUUCUUGAAACUAGUGGUUUUACUAACCAUCAACAAUUGAUGCUCCUAUUUGAUUUCUACUUUUGCGGUGUCGCGAAUAGCUCAAGGAUCAUCAUAUAUAUCCCUGAUAUGUUAUAGUUCAUCACGAAGCUCUAGUAGCUUGGUGGUAGUGACUUUGGAGAACCAUCACUAUCUCAUCUGGAAGACUAACUCCCACUCAUUCAAGCGAUUGUAGUACUCAUACAAUCUGAGCACAUGCUCAACGAUUGAGCUUUUCUCCUUAGUUUGCAGGCUUAAGAAACUUGUCAGAGGUCUCAUACCUCUUGACGUGGGCACUAGCCUAAAAUCCCAAUUUCAGUCCUUGGAACAUCUCAUAUGUUCUGCGAUCUUUCAAAAACGUCUUUGGUGCCUCAAUUCUAAACCAUUUAGCAUUACACACUAAACUAUCAUGUAGUCAUCAAAACAUGUAUGUCAGAUGUUCACAACAUCCACAGCCGACGCUUGAGGUUCAGUACACUGAUCGGUGCAUUAAGGACAUAAUCCUUCUGCGUAGCAAUGAGGACAAUCCUCAGUUUACGGACCCAGUAUGCAUAAUUGCUACUUUCAACUCUCAACUAAAUUUUCUCUAGGAACAAAUCUAAAACAGUAGAACCAAAGCGUGAGCUAUGACAUAAUUUGCAAAGACCUUUUGACUAUGUUCAUGAUAAUUAAGUUCAUCUAAUCAAAUUAUUUAAUGAACUCCCACUCAGAUAGACAUCCCUGUAGUCAUCUAAGUGAUACAUGAUCCGAUUCAACUAGGCAGUGUCCGAUCAUCACGUGAGACAGACUAGUCGUCAUCGGUGAACAUCUUCAUGUUGAUCGUAUCCACUAUACGACUCAUGUUCGACCAUUUGGUCUCUUGUGUUCCGAGGCCAUGUCUGUACAUGCUAGGCUCGUCAAGUCAACCUAAGUGUUUUGCAUGUGUAAAUCUGGCUUACACCCGUUGUAUGCGAACGUUAGAAUCUAUCACACCCGAUCAUCACGUGGUGCUUCGAAACAACGAACUUUCGCAACGGUGCACAGUUAGGGGGAACACUUUCUUGAAAUUUUAUGAGGGAUUAUAUUAUUUAUGUUACCGUCGUUCUAAGCAAAUAAGAUGUAAAAACAUGAUAAACAUCACAUGCAAUCAAAUAGUGACAUGAUAUGGCCAAUAUCAUUUUGCUCCUUUUGAUCUCCAUCUUCGGGGCACCAUGAUCAUCAUGGUCACCGGCAUGACACGAUGAUCUCCAUCAUCAUGUCUUCAUGAAGUUGUCUUGCCAACUAUUACUUAUACUACCAUGGCUAACGGUUAGCAAUAAAGUAAAGUAAUUACAUGGUGUUUUCAUUGACACGCAGGUCAUAUAACAAAUUAAGACAACUCCUAUGGCUCCUGCCGGUUGUCAUACUCAUCGACAUGCAAGUCGUGAUUCCUAUUACAAGAACAUGAUCAAUCUCAUACAUCAAAUAUGUCAUUCAUCACAUCCUUUUGGCCAUAUCACAUCACACGGCAUAUGCUGCAAGAACAAGUUAGACGUCCUCUAAUUGUUGUUGCAAGUUUUCACAUGGCUGCUAUAGGUUUUUAUCAAGAAUGUUUCUUACCUACGCUAAAACCACAACGUGAUAUGCCAAUUUCUAUUUACCCUUCAUAAGGACCCUUUUCAUCGAAUCCGAUCCGACUAAAGAGGGAGAGAUAGACACCCGCUAGCCACCUUAUGCAACUAGUGCAUGUUAGUCGGUGGAACCUGUCUCACGUAAGCGUACGUGUAAGUUCGGUCCGGGCCGCUUCAUCCCACGAUGCCGCCGAAUCAAGAUAAGACUAGUAACGGCAAGUAAAUUGACAAAAUCGACACCCACAACAACUUGUGUUCUACUCGUGCAUAGAAACUAAGCAUAGACCUAGCUCUGAUACCACUGUUGGGGAUCGUUGCAGAAAUUAAAAAAUUUCUACGCAUCACCAAGAUCAAUCUAUGGAGAGACUAGCAACGAGAGAGAGGGGAGUGCAUCUUCAUACCCUUGAAGAUCGUGAUGCGGAAGCAUUACAAGAACGCGGAUGAAGGAGUCGUACUCGUAGCGAUUCAGAUCGCGGUUGAUUCCGAUCUAAGCGCCGAACAACGGCGCCUCCGCGUUCAACACACGUACAGCCCGGGGACGUCUCCUCCUUCUGGUGUUCCGAGCAAGGGGGGAGGAGAACUUGAGGGAGAGCUCUGGCAGCACGACGGCAUGGUGGUGGAGCUUGCAGUUCUCCGGCAGGGCUUCACCAAGCACUACAGAGGAGGAGGAGGUGUUGGGUAGGGAGAGGGCUGCGCCAGGGGAAGGGCUGCGGCUCCCAUGCGCCUCCCCACUCUAUAUAGGGGUGGAAGGGUGAUACGUCUCCAACGUAUGUAUAAUUUUUGAUUGCUCCAUGCUAUAUUAUUUACUGGUUUUAAUGUUUAUGGGCUUUAUUGUACAGUUUUAUAUCAUUUUUGGGACUAACCUAUUAACCCAGAGCCCAGUGCCAGUUUCUGUUUUACCCUGUUCUAGGGUUUCGAAGAAAAGGAAAAUCAAACGAAGUCCAAUUGACCUCAAACUUCAAGGAACUCAUUUUUGGAAGGAAAGAAGCCCAGAAGACUUGGAGUGCACGUGGGGGAUCUGCGAGGAGGUCACGAGGUAGGGGGGCGCGCCCUCCACCCUCGCGAGCCCCUCGUGCCCCCCUGACAUACUUCUUCCACCUAUAUAUCUCCAUAUACCCUAAAAACAUUGGGCAGCAUAAUAGAUCAGCAGUUCCAUCGCCAGAAGCCUCAGUAGCCACCGAAAGCCAAUCUAGACCCGUUCCGGCACCCUGCCGGAGGGGGUAAUCCUUCUCCGGCGGCCAUCUUCAUCAUCCCGGUGCUCUCCAUGACGAGGAGGGAGUAGUUCUCCCUCGGGGCUGAGGGUAUGUACCAGUAGCUAUGUGUUUGAUCUCUCUCUCUCUCUCUCGUGUUCUUGAUUUGGCACGAUCUUGAUGUAUCGCGAGCUUUGCUAUUAUAGUUGGAUCUUAUGUUUCUUCCCCCCUCUACACUCUUGUAAUGAAUUGAGUUUCCCCUUUGAAGUUAUCUUAUCGGAUUUAGUCUUUAAAGAUUUGAGAACACUUGAUGUAUGUCUUGUCGUGGAUAUCUGUCCUGACAAUGGGAUAUCACGUGAUUCACUUGAUGUAUGUUUUGGUGAUCAACUUGCGGGUUCCGCCCAUGAACCUAUGCAUAGGGGUUGGCACACGUUUUCGUCGUGAUUCUCCGGUAGAACUUUGGGGCAUUCUUUGAGGUCCUUUGUGUUGGUUGAAUAGAUGAAUCUGAGAUUGUGUGAUGCAUAUCGUAUAAUCAUGCCCACGGAUACUUGAGGUGACAUUGGAGUAUCUAGGUGACAUUAGGGUUUUGGUUCAUUUGUAUCUUAAGGUGUUAUUCUAGUACGAACUCUAGGGCUGUUUGUGACACUUAUAGGAAUAGCCCAACGGAUUGAUUGGAAAAAAUAACUUUGAGGUGGUUUCGUACCUACCAUAAUCUCUUCGUUCGUUCUCCGCUAUUAGUGACUUUGGAGUGACUCUUUGUUGCAUGUUGAGGGAUAGUUUUAUGAUCCAAUUAUGUCAGUAUUGUUGAGAGGACUUACACUAGUGAAAGUAUGAACCCUAGGCCCCAUUUCCACACAUUGCAAUACCGUUUACGCUCACUUUUAUCACUUGUUACCUUGCUGUUUUUAUAAUUUCAGAUUACAAAUACCUUUAUCUACUAUCCAUAUACCACUUGUAUCACCAUCUCUUCACCGAACUAGUGCACCUAUACAAUUUACCAUUAUAUUUGGUGUGUUGGGGACACAAGAGACUCUUUGUUAUUUGGUUGUAGGGUUGCUUGAGAGAGACCAUCUUCAUCCUACGCCUCCUACGGAUUGAUAUACCUUAGGUCAUCCACUUGAGGGAAAUUUGCUACUAUCCACAAACCUCUGCACUUGGAGGCCCAACAACGUGUACAAGAAGAAGGUUGUAUAGUAGACAUCAAGCUCUUUUCUGGUGCCGUUGCCGGGGAGGUGAGUGCUUGAAGGUAUAUCUUUAGAUCUUGCAAUCGAAUCUUUUUGUUUCUUGUUUUAGCACUAGUUAGUCUAUAAAAGAAAACUACCAAAAAAUGGAAUUGAGUUUGUCUCAUACGCUUCAUCUUUUUAAUAUUUUUCAUGAAUAUGAUGGAAAGGAAAAUUGUGCCAAAGUGUUAGAAGAAGAAUGCAUUAAAAUGUUUGGCACUAAAUCUUUGAAUGAUGAGCAUGAUUGCAAUUUUGUUAGUAUGAAUUCUUUGAAUAUCCAUGAUGCUAAUGGUGAUUGCACUAGUUAUGAUGAAAAUGGCUCCUAUAAACAUGUCAAUUUUUGUGGAGUAGAUUGGGUUUGCAAGUACACACCAAAUAGGGAAGAUAGAUAUUGUAAGAGGCAUAAGUACUUAGAAACCAAAUUGUUGCAAGAAGAGCUAGAUGAAUGUGCUGAAAAUUUAUCUUUUCUUAGCCCUACUUGUGAACUUUGCAAUGAACGUGAUCAUUUUAGUACCCAAUGCAAAUUGUUUCAUGAGCGUAUUGCAAAAAUUUGUGAUUACUUGAUUUCCCUUGCACAUCAUAAUGAACUUAGUUUGCUCUUGGGUUAUGAAGAAAUUAAACGUAGAACUAAGGAUAUUCCAAAAUUUGUCCUUGAAAAAGUUCUUAAUUUUAAUCUAGAAGAAAUUUAUAUGUAUUGUGCGGUGAAUUGCAUUGAAAAUUCUUAUAUUUCCAAUUACAUAAAGAAAAUAAAACAAAUAUAGGAUGAAGAGAAUACUAAUGAAAGGGAAGAGACUUCCCAAUAUCCUCCUAUUAUUUCUUAUGAUGAAUCAAGUAACGAGAAGGAGCUUUCUAUCCAACCAAUCUCAUUAAUAAGGAGCUCCAAAAAGAGGAUUGAACCCACACAUGAUGUGGUGAAGAAGAAGAAAAGAAAAAGGAAGAGAGGUAAAAAGGUAUCUCUCCCAAAUAAAGUUGCUCCUAUUAUUGUUGUGCCUCAUGAAAAUGAAGAUGAUACACUUGAUGAUGAUCUCAUUAUGCCUAUUGCUUGUUGUGAUGAUUAUGAUUGGGAAGACAAUGAUACUUCUUAUGAUCUUGAAAAUCUUUUUGGUACUUGCUUGGAAGAAUAUAAUAAUUGCUAUACUAUCGGUGCUAUUUAUACUAUUAAUGAUGAGAGUGAUUAUGCUUAUGAUAUGAAAAGGCCCAAGCUUGGGUAAGCUAUGUUUGAUGAGGAUGCCAUAUUUGAGAAUAUAUUUGCUGCAAUUAAUGUUGGUCCCAAGCUUGGGGAAGCUAUGAUUAAUGAAGAUGAUAUUUUUAGUCUCCCAAGUUUUGAUAUGCAAGUUUAUAAUGAUGAUAGCAUGCCUCCUACAUAUGAUGAUUAUUUUGAUGAUACUUAUGCUAUAAAAAGUAGUGAUUAUAUUUAUAAAACUUGUCAUGAUUAUGAGUACCCUUUCUCUGAACAUUACUCUUUUAAUGUGGAAACAAUUUAUUGUAUCCAAGUCUCUUAUGAUACUCACACUAUGCCGAAUGAGAAGAAUUUUGCUUAUGAGGUGAAUAAUAAAAUUUCUAUGCUUGUAGAUCAUGAAAAGAAUGCUUUAGGUGCUGGUUAUAUUGUUGAAGUCAUUCAUGAUGCCAUUGAAAAUUAUUAUGAGGGAUGAAUAUAUAGUUGUAGGAAUUGCAAUAAUAUCAAGUUUCCUCUCUAUGUGCUUAAAGCUUUGAAGUUAUGCUUGUUUUACCCUCCUAUGCUAGUUGAUUAUUGUUACCACAAGUUGUUUGCUCACAAAAUCCCUAUUCAUAGGAAGUGGGUUAGACUUAAAUCUUCUAGUCAUAUUAUUCAUGAUGCUCUCUUUAUGUUUCAAUUCUUAUCCUUUAUGUGAGCAUCAUUGAAAUCAUCAUGCCUAGCUAGGGGCGUUAAACGAUAGCGCUUGUUGGGAGGCAACCCAACUUUAUUUUUGUUCCUUGCUUUUUGCUCCUGUUUAGUAAUAAAUAAUCCAUCUAGCCUCUGUUUAGAUGUGGUUUUAUUCUUUUAAUUAGUGUUUGUUCCAAGUAGAACCUUUGGGAAGACUUGGGGAAAGUCUUGUUGAUCAUGCUGUAAAAAAUAGAAACUUUAGCACUCACGAGAAUUGCUGCGAUUUUUAUUUUGAUAGUUCUAUUUAGUUAAUUAUUUUUUCAGAUGAUUAAUAGAUAAAUUCCUCAGGUCCAGCAAUUUAUUUGAGAAUUUUAUGAGUUCCAGAAGUAUACGUUUGAUCCAGAUUACUACAGACUGUUCUGUUUUUGACAGAUUCUGUUUUUCAUGUGUUGUUUACUUAUUUUGAUGAAUCUAUGGCUAGUAAACUAGUUUAUAAACCAUAGAGAAGUUGGAAUACAGUAGGAUUAACACCAAUAUAAAUAAAUAAUGAGUUCAUUACAGUACCUUGAAGUGGUGAUUUAUUUUCUUAUACUAACGGAGCUUACGAGUUUUCUGUUAAGUUUUGUGUUGUGAAGUUUUCAAGUUUUGGGUAAAGAUUCGAUGGACUAUGGAAUAAGGAGUGGCAAAAGCUCAAGCUUGGGGAUGCACAAGGCACCCCAAGGUAAUAUUCAAGGAUAGCCAAGAGCCUAAGCUUGGGGAUGCCCCGGAAGGCAUCCCCUCUUUCGUCUUCGUUCAUCGGUAAUUUUACUUGGAGCUAUAUUUUUAUUCGCCACAUGAUAUGUGUUUUUCUUGGAGCGUCAAUUUAUUUUCUUAGGAUUUGCUUGCUGUUAUUUAGAACAAUUUUCUGCAUCUUUUAUUUCAAUAAAAGUUGCAUUGAUAGCCUUUAUGAUGCCUAUUUUACAAGUAUACAUGUUGCUGUUUGAAAACAGAAAGUUUACUGCUGUUGCAAUAAUUCCCUAGAAAAGUUAUAAUGUGAUAAAAUUUUGAAACAUUUUGCAUAUUAAGCUCUGAUAAAUUUACUACAGUGGGAAAUUUUCUUUCAUAAUUUUUGGACCUAUGGAAGUAUGGAUGUUGUUGCAUUCUUUACAGACUGUCCUGUUUAGGCAGAUUGCUGUUAUGUUUGCAUUGUUUGCAUAUGUUUGCUUCUUUAAUGAUUCUAUUUGAGGAUAGGUAUAUUAAAUAUGCAGAGGCAUUUAGUAUGCAAUGUUGAAUAAUAAUUUUAGUGAUUUGCUACAGUAGAGUAUGAUAAGGUUUUUGCAAUGGUUUAUACUAACUUAUCUCACGAGUCCUUGUUGAGUUUUGUGUGGAUGAAGCUUUUGAGAUUUAGGGAGACCGUGAUAUGAGAGGAAUUAAGGAGACACAAAAGCUCAAUCUUGGGGAUGCCCAAGGCACCACAAGAUAAUAUUUCAAGAAGUCUCAAGCAUCUAAGCUUGGGGAUGCCCCGGUUGGCAUCCCACCUUUCUUCUUCAACAAUUAUCGGUUAGUUUCGGUUGAUCCUAAGUUUUUUCUUCUUCACAUGAUGUUUGCUAUUCUUAGAAUGUCAUUUUAUUUUGCUUUGCUUGCUGUUUGAAUAAAAUACCAAGAUCUGAAAUUCUUAAAUGUUAGAGAGUCUUCACAUAGUUGCAUAACUAUUCAACUACUCAUUGAUCUUCACUUAUAUUUCGGAGUAGUUUGUCAUUUGCUCUAGUGCUUCACUUAUAUCUUUUAGAGCAUGGUGGUAGUUUUAUUUUGAAUAAAUAGAUGAACUAUCAUGCUUCACUUAGAUUAUUUUGAGAGUAUUAGUAGCAUGGUAAUUUGCUUAAAAUCCUAAUAUGCUAGGUAUUCAAGAAUAAUAAAAUUCUCUUAUGAGUGUGUUGAAUACUAUGAGAAGUUUGAUACUUGAUAAUUGUUUUGAGAUAUGAAUAUGGUGAUAUUAGAGUCAUGCUAGUUGAGUAGUUGUGAAUUUGAGAAAUACUUGUGUUGAAGUUUGUGAUUCCCGUAUCAUGCACGUAUGGUGAACCGUUAUGUGAUGAAGUCGGAGCAUGAUUUAUUUAUUGAUUGCCUUCCUUAUGAGUGGCGGUCGGGGACGAGCGAUGGUCUUUUCCUACCAAUCUAUCCCCCUAGGAGCAUGCGCGUAAUACUUUGCUUUGAUAACUUCUAGAUUUUUGUAGUAAGUAUAUGAGUUCUUUAUGACUAAUGUUGAGUCCAUGGAUUAUACACACUCUCACCCUUCCACCUUUGCUAGCCUCUCUAAUACCGCGCACCUUUCGCCGGUAUCAUACACCCACCAUAUACCUUCCUCAAAACAGCCAUCAUACCUACCUAUUAUGGCAUUUCCAUAGCCAUUCCGAGAUAUAUUGCCAUGCAACUUCCCACUGUUCCAUUCAUGACACAUUCAUCAUUGUCAUAUUGCAUAUCCCGGUACACCGCCGGAGGCAUUCAUAUAGAGUCAUAUUUUGUUCUAAGUAUCGAGUUGUAAUUGUUGAGUUUUAAGAAAAAUAAAAGUGUGAUGAUCAUCAUUAUUAGAGCAUUGUCCCAGUGAGGAAAGGAUGAUGGAGACUAUGAUUCCCCCAUAAGUCGGGAUGAGACUCCGGACGAAAAAAAAAGAGGCCAAAGAAGCCCAAAUAAAAAAAGAGGCCAUAAAAAAAGAGAUGGCCCAAAUAAAAAAAAUAAAAAAUAAAAAAAUGAGAGAAAAAGAGAGAAGGGACAAUGCUACUAUCCUUUUACCACACUUGUGCUUCAAAGUAGCACCAUGAUCUUCAUGAUAGAGAGUCUCCUAUGUUGUCACUUUAAUAUACUAGUGGGAAUAUUUCACUAUAGAAAUUGGCUUGUAUAUUCCAAUGAUGGGAUUCCUCAAAAUGCCCUAGGUCUUCGUGAGCAAGCGAGUUGGAUGCACACCCACUAGUUUCUUUUGUUGAGCUUUCAUGCACUUAUAGCUCUAGUGCAUCUGUUGCAUGGCAAUCCCUACUCACUCACAUUGAUAUCUAUUAAUGGGCAUCUCCAUAGCCCGUUGAUACGCCUAGUUGAUGUGAGACUAUCUUCUCCCUUUUUGUCUUCUCCACAACAACCAUUCUAUUCCACCUAUAGUGUUAUAUCCAUGGCUCACGCUCAUGUAUUGCGUGAAGAUUGAAAAAGUUUGAGAACAUCAAAAGUAUGAAACAAUUGCUUGGCUUGUCAUCGGGGUUGUGCAUGAUUUAAAUAUUUUGUGUGGUGAAGAUAGAGUAUAGACAGACUAUAUGAUUUUGUAGGGAUAGCUUUCUUUGGCCACGUUAUUUUGAGAAAACAUAAUUGCUUAGUUAGUAUGCUUGAAGUAUUAUUGUUUUUAUGGCAAUAUUAAACUUUUGUCUUGAAUCUUAUGGAUCUGAAUAUUCAUGCCACAAUUAAGAAGAACUACAUUGAAAUUAUGCCAAGUAGCACUCCGCAUCAAAAAUUCUGUUUUUAUCAUUUACCUACUCGAGGACGAGCAGGAAUUAAGCUUGGGGAUGCUGGUACGUCUCCAACGUAUCUAUAAUUUUUGAUUGCUCCAUGCUAUAUUAUUUACUGUUUUGAAUGUUUAUGGGCUUUAUUAUACACUUUUAUAUCAUUUUUGGGACUAACCUAUUAACCCAGAGCCCAGUGCCAGUUUCUAUUUUUACCCUGUUUUAGGUUUUCGAAGAAAAGGAAAAUCAAACAGAGUCCAAUUGACCUGAAACUUCACGGAACUCAUUUUUUGGAAGGAAAGAAGCCCAGAAGACUUGGAGUGCACGUCGGGGGAUCUGCGAGGAGGUCAUGAGGUAGGGGGCGCGCCCACCCCCCCUGGGCGCGCCCUCCACCCUCGUGAGCCCCUCGUGGCCCCCCUAACAUACUUCUUCCGCCUAUAUAUAUCUCCAUAUACCCGAAAAACAUCGGGGAGCUCAAUAGAUCGAGAGUUCCGCCGCCAGAAGCCUCCGUAGCCACCGAAAGCCAAUCUAGACCCGUUUCGGCACCCUGCUUCUCCCUUGGGGCUGAGGGUAUGUACUGGUAGCUAUGUGUUUGAUCUCUCUCUCUCUCUCUCUCUCUCUCUCUCUCUUGUGUUCUUGAUUUGGCACGAUCUUGAUGUACCGCGAGCUUUGCUAUUAUAGUUGGAUCUUAUGUUUCUCCCCCCCCCUCUACUCUCUUGUAAUGAAUUGAGUUUCCCCUUUGAAGUUAUCUUAUCGGAUUGAGUCUUUAAAGAUUUGAGAACACUUGAUGUAUGUCUUGCCGUGGAUAUCUAUGGUGACAAUGGGAUAUCAUGUGAUUCACUUGAUGUAUGUUUUGGUGAUCAACUUGUGGGUACCGCCCAUGAACCUACGCAUAGGGGUUGGCACACAUUUUCGUCGUGAUUCUCCGGUAGAACUUUGGGGCACUCUUUGAGGUCCUUUGUGUUGGUUGAAUAGAUGAAUAUGAGAUUGUGUGAUGCAUAUCGUAUAAUCAUGCCCACGGAUACUUGAGGUGACAUUGGAGUAUCUAGGUGACAUUAGGGUUUUUGUUGAUUUGUAUCUUAAGGUGUUAUUCUAGUACGAACUCUAGGGCUGUUUGUGACACUUAUAAGAAUAGCCCAACGGAUUGAUUGGGAAGAAUAACUGUGAGGUGGUUUUGUACCCUACCAUAAUCUCUUCGUUCGUUCUCCGCUAUUAGUGACUUUGGAGUGACUCUUUGUUGCAUGUUGAGGGAUAGUUUUAUGAUCCAAUUAUGUUAGUAUUGUUGAGAGGACUUACACUAGUGAAAGUAUGAACCCUAGGCCUUAUUUCCACACAUUGCAAUACCGUUUACGCUCACUUUUAUCACUUGUUACCUUGCUGUUUUUAUAAUUUCAGAUUACAAAUACCUUUAUCUACUAUCCAUAUACCACUUGUAUCACCAUCUCUUCGCCGAACUAGUGCACCUAUAUAAUUUACCAUUGUAUUGGGUGUGUUGGGUACAUAAGAGACUCUUUAUUAUUUGGUUGCAGGGUUGCUUGAGAGAGACCAUCUUCAUCCUACACCUCCUACAGAUUGAUAAACCUUAGGUCAUCCACUUGAGGGAAAUUUGCUACUGUCCUACAAACAUCUGCACUUGGAGGCCCAACAACGUCUACAAGAAGAAGGUCGUGUAGUAGACAACAAGGGGGCUGGUUUCUUGCCCUCCAAGUCCAUUGGGGUGUUGGCAAAGGUGGGGAAAAGAAAUCCCAUCAUUUCCCUUCCCCACCGAUUGUUAUCCCCUUUUUUUAGGAUCUUGAUCUUAUCCCUUCGGGAUAUGAUCUUAUUCCUUCUAAGGGGGGAUCUUGGUGAGCCUUGACCAGGGGUGUGGGGCCUUUCCCCCACUACCCACGUUCAUGUGGGUCCCCCCAUGCAGGUGGGCCCCACUCCGGAACCUUCUAGAACCUUCCCGGUACAAUACCGAAAAAUCCUGAACAUUUUCCGGUAGCCAAAAUAGGACUUCCCAUAUAUAAAUCUUUACCUCCGGACCAUUCCGGAACUCCUCGUGACGUCCGGGAUCUCAUCCGGGACUCUGAACAACAUUCGGUAACUGCACACUAAUUCCCAUAACAACUCUAGCGUCACCGAACCUUAAGUGUGUAGACCCUACGGGUUCGAGAAUCAUGCAGACAUGACCGAGACAGCUCUCUGGCCAAUAACCCACAACGGGAUCUGGAUACCCAUGUUGGCUCCCACAUGUUCCACGAUGAUCUCAUCGGAUGAACCACGAUGUCGGGGAUUCAAUCAAUCCUGUAUACAAUUCCCUUUGUCAAUCGGUACGUUACUUGCCCGAGAUUCGAUCGUCGGUAUCCCAAUACCUCGUUCAAUCUCGUUACCGGCAAGUCACUUUUACUCGUUCCGUAAAACAUCAUCCCGUGAUCAACUCUUUGGUCACAUUGAGCUCAUUAUGAUGAUGUCCUACCGAGUGGGCCCAGAGAUACCUCUCCGUCACAUGGAGUGACAAAUCCCAGUCUCGAUUCGUGCCAACCCAACAGACACUUUUGGAGAUACCCGUAGUGUGCCUUUAUAGCCACCCAGUUACGUUGUGACGUUUGGCACACCCAAAGAAUUCCUACGGUAUUCGGGAGUUGCACAAUCUCAUGGUCUAAGGAAAUGAUACUUGACAUUAGAAAAGCUUUAGCAAACGAACUACACGAUCUUCUGCUAUGCUUAGGAUUGGGUCUUGUCCAUCACAUCAUUCUCCUAAUGAUGUGAUCCAGUUAUCAACGACAUCCAAUGUCCAUGGUCAGGAAACUGUCACGACCGGGUUUUCCGGGUAUAAAUUUCCAGAAAAAGACCAUCGUGCUCAUCAGCCCCAGGAUUACUGUUAGCUGAUGAGGCUCCAACUUGAUACAGAAAUUCCAAAAAAAAUACAAAAUAUGCAGUACAAGACCAUUCUGGCCUGUGAGUACAACAAUUGGGUUUCUAGUGGUUAUGGCGGAAGCGGUUUGUGGGUCGUCAGUGUCUAUGGGACUCCAUUUCCCACAGGAACAGCUGACCAGGUUAACUCCUAUCUUCGCGAGGCUGCUAUCACCUUUGCUUAGGUCCCAAGGCUGUCAUCGCCACGCUCCUCUCCAAGCAAGCAAUCUGGCCAAGACAAUAGCCAGGGACAAGCCAGUGGGUACUUUGAAUGUACUCGCAAACAUUAUGAACACUGGGAUAAUAUAAUUGAUAAUCAUGCACUGAAAAAUUCUAUGAUCACAUCGUCAGUCAUAAAUAAAACAUCUUUUAUGCAUGCAAGCAGGUUGUUUAUGAAAAUGUAAUAAAAUAAUAAUAAAAGGCACCGAUCGGGCGUCUGGAGUGACACCACAUAAAGGGCUUUAAACGAAAUGCCACAGUCGGGCGUCUGAGCGACACCACAUAAAGGGCUUUAAACGAAAUGCCACAGUCGGGCGUCUGAGCGAGACCACAUAGAGGGCUUUAAAAGAAAUGCCACAGUCGGGCGUUUGAGCGACACCACAUAAAGGGCUUAUAAGAGAAAUGCCACAGUCGGGCGUCUGAGCGANNNNNNNNNNNNNNNNNNNNNNNNNNNNNNNNNNNNNNNNNNNNNNNNNNNNNNNNNNNNNNNNNNNNNNNNNNNNNNNNNNNNNNNNNNNNNNNNNNNNNNNNNNNNNNNNNNNNNNNNNNNNNNNNNNNNNNNNNNNNNNNNNNNNNNNNNNNNNNNNNNNNNNNNNNNNNNNNNNNNNNNNNNNNNNNNNNNNNNNNNNNNNNNNNNNNNNNNNNNNNNNNNNNNNNNNNNNNNNNNNNNNNNNNNNNNNNNNNNNNNNNNNNNNNNNNNNNNNNNNNNNNNNNNNNNNNNNNNCACCACAUAAAGGGCUUUAAAAGAAAUGCCACAGUCGGGCGUCUGAGCGACACCACAUAAAGGGCUUAUAAGAGAAAUGCCACAGUCGGGCGUCUGAGCGACACCACAUAAAGGGCUUAUAAAAUAAAUAAAUAACAAGCAAUGCCACAGUCGGGCGUCUCAGAGACACCACAUAAAGGGCUUAUAAAAUAAAUAAAUAACAAGCAAUGCCACAGUCGGGCGUCUCAGCGACACCACAUAAAAGGGCUUAUAAAAUAAAUAAUCACAAUGAAUAUCCAGGAGGUAGAACCGUCCCAGGGAUACUCGAUAAUAUAAAUAAUUCAACGGGUUAGUCCAUCACAAAAUAAUAAUCAUGGUCCUCACAAGUAACCAGUCGGUAUCCAAGUUUGGUUUAACAAUAUCUCCUCUGAAGACCGACACUAAGACCAACACUUGACCCAUCCCAGACUGUAAUCCUUAACCAUGGACACGGCUAUUCGAAGAGGUUUUAAUCUCUGCAGAGGGUGUACUCUUUACCCACUAGUAACGGAUUCCUUUAGUUCAUCGGGACUAAUUCCGUCUACGGCCUUUUUGUUGAAAACACGCCUAACUUGCACACACCAGCUUAACUCACCGGUGUCUGGAAUCACCCACGACACCUGUCAAGCAAACUCUAAGUGGGGAGGCUACAACCUCGCGUAGCAUGGGAUCAAAUUUAUAUGGUGCGCUCUAAGGGGUGGCCUCCCCUCUCGGUCCCAACCGGAAACACCCAUGCCCCCGGACCAGGUGGCCUGCCUACCGGCUACAACCGGUAUCUUCCACCAUGGCCUCUCUGUACGGUGUGUGCUGGAAAGGGGUUGACGACUUACUGAAUCGUACCCUACCUGCGGCAGGGACAUGUGGUAGUACAAAACAAGUAUGGGGGUUACUGGAACAAGACUCGAUCUACGGUCGACUCAGGAGGUUUAUAAAUUCCCUGCAUGACAUGUAUAACAAAUAUAUUUCAACCAACAAAAUCACCACUCAAUAUACCUUACCAUGCCAUACCGGACGUAACCAUCCCGACGGAGACCGGCGAUAAGCUCACGCCUACCCAAGGCAGAGGCUUUCCCGGAUUUCUUUCCGGCAUGCAUGCAAGGCACAUGAGGAUGAGUACCAUCACCAGUAUAUUCAUUUCCAAUAGCAAGGAAAUCACUAAUAUGCAUUCAUGCAAAUGAUCAUAUCACAUGAAAUAACAAGUUCUCCGAUAUAAGGUGGUGUUAUAAACGUGUCAACUAACACACCAAAAUUAUUAUUCCGGGGUUCAGAAUGCUUGCCUUCAUGGUGUGGAAGGGCAGGGUGCACUCCAAAUCUUUUGAAAGCUUUCUUCUCUUCCAAAAUCCUAUUUUCAAAAAUAUGCAAAUAAAACAUAUUUCAAAAACAGUACAAAAAAGUUGUUUGGAAAAUUUUCAAAUAAAUCUUAAAAUAAACUAGACAGAAUUUGAGAGAUGUAGGAAAAAGAAUCAAUUCAUUUGGAGUUAUAUUUAAAAAGUUAUAGCCAGUCAAAGAUUUGGUCAAAAUCUGUUUUGAAUAAAAUCAGAAAAAGAAAACGGUUCAAACGAGAUUACGCUUUCGGGCAGAGAAAACGUACUACGGGUUUUACGCCUAUACUUAUCCAGCGUGGACCGCGCGCGAGUCACUGACAGUGGGCCCGCCUGGCCCACUCGUCAGGUUUGACUGGUCUAUCCCUCCCUCCUCUUCCUCUGCCCGAACGGAGGCGAGGCAACGGCGAUCGUCGCCGGCGAACGGCGGCUCUUCGCGGGCAUCUGAAUGCAGGGAUGGAUCCGCCACUCCUAGGCGGUCCUCCCGGUGGUUGUAGGGUCGUCGGGGGUGGAAGGAAUCGCCGGCGGCGAGCUUCGCGGCGGCCGGUGGCUUCGGGAAUUUUGGGCGUUUGAACUACGGUGGCUCCCAGUCGGGUUUGAGUAGCUGGGCGGCUCCGCAAGUCGAAGUGGAGUCAUUUGGUGGCAUUGGAUGGACGGGAGGGGCUCUGGUUGCGGUGAAUGGAGCUGGGACGCGGCGGCGGCCGAACCGGCCGGAGUUGGGGAAGACGGCUUUUCCCCGACGAUUGCUGGCUGAGGGGGUGCCAUGGGGGUGGCCUGAGGUCGCCUGAGUGCUCGAACGAGCUCGGGGGCCUCCUUUUAUGGCGCGACGAGGUCGGUUCCACGGCGGUGGAUAAGGCUGCCGGUGACCGAUGUUCUGUAGCUUGCAGGGCAACGUGGCGGGGCUGGGGAUGGCGGCAGGAGCUAGCGGACGAGCGGGCACUGCUCCAGGGGCAAGCUGGCGAGCGGGAGAGGCUUGGCGGCGCCGACAUGAGCAGGGGCUAUCGGGCGGCCGUGGCGGCUAGCUCCUGGCCUGCCGGGGACGUGGCGAGGGCUCUUGGCGUGUUGUGGCGAGAAGGGAGCGAGUGGCGUGGCUUGGCAGAGCGGGCAAGGCCAGGGGCGCGACGCGUCGGCUCGGCACAGCACGUGCAAAACGCGUCCUCUGCUUGCGCCUAGAGCAUGCACGAAACGUGCUCGACGAAAUGCUAAAGCAUGCUAGAGGUCGCGGUUGAGGCUGGGAAGAAACAGGGCUAGGCUAGGGUUAGUUAGAGGGUGAAUGGACAUGGUGGUUAGGUCAGGUGGCCAAGUUCACAAUGUAAACUUGAAUCCAUGCCAAAUCUGGCUAUGCACACAGAGUGUUUGUCAAAAUGCCAAGGACAUCUAGGCAAUACUUGGGGUGGCCAAAAUCUCCAGAGCAAGGUCUCCUUAGAUGCAAGAGAGAGUGGUGAGGUUAGUUUGUGAAAAGCACAAACUUGUUAGUGCAAGUUUUGCAGAACUUCAAAUCUGGACAGGAUGUGAAUGGCAUUAUUUCAUGAACCAAAAAUAUGCCAAUGGGUGCAUGCUCCUGGACUUAGGGGUUUGGUAGGGCUGUCUACAAGUAGGAGAAGGCACAAGGUUACUGGAGCAAAAAUAAAUAGGGUUGCAGUAGAAAUCACAAGGCUGGACCAGAAUGGAAAAGAGGUUGAUUCACUCAAAAUUUUCAAAGAACAGCACUAGGUUUUUGCAUAAUGUUGAAUCAUAUGCUACUACCAACAUCCCAUAUUUUGGUGGAGGCCAGAAAGAAAUAUUUAAAAGGGUUGUAGUGCAAAAUUGCACUCUGGACCAGAGAAGAAAAAUUGAUGCAGAGCUCAAAAUAUUACAUGAAUAAAAGAUAUUUUUGUAUAAAAGUGAUUUAAAAACAUCACAUGACAUCUCCAAAUUUUGGUUGGAAUUUUAGGUGAAUUUAUCAAAUGGUUGUAGUUCAAUUAUGGCCAUAUAACCUUGAAAAACCAUUUUUCAAGAAAAUAAAGAUCAAGCAAUUUAAUUAGGUAUACUGAUAAAAGAAAAGUUUUUCUUGAGAGGUUAAACAAGUCCAAUAACAUAUUUGAAAGGUUUUCAUUUUAGGAAACAACUCAAUGAUAAUAAGAAAGGAAAUGUUUAAAAAAUCAAAAGGGAGUCCAAAAAAAUCAAAGUUUUAAUUCCUGGCAAAAAGUUUAAUUUAAUAAAACAAGGCCAAACUUUUGGGAUGUCACAGAAACCGUAAUCAUCUAUUGAUCAACGAGCUAGUCAACUAGAGGCUUACUAGGGACAUAUUGUGGUCUACGUAUUCACACAUGUAUUACGGUUUCCGGUUAAUACAAGUAUAGCAUGAACAAUAGACAAUUAUCAUGAACAAGGGAAUAUAAUAAUAACCAUUUUAUUAUUGCCUCUAGGGCAUAUUUCCAGCAGGGGCUUCUACCGGAAAAUGUCCAAUUAGCCACUGUGAAGCUAUGUGCAUUCCUCAAUGCAGUCUCUCAGAAGGUGAUCGAUCUAGAAAUCAUACCAAGGCUAAGGAGUGAGGUGGCGCAAUGUCUUGUCAGUUUUGAGCUAGUGUUCCCACUAUCCUUCUUCAAUAUCAUGACACACGUCCUAGUUCAUCUAGUCAACGAGAUUGUCAUUCUGGGCCCCGUAUUUCUACACAAUAUGUUCCCCUUUGAGAGGUUCAUGGGAGUCCUAUAGAAAUAUGUCCGUAACCGUGCUAGGCCAUAAGGAAGCAUCUCCAUGGGCCAUCAAACAUAGGAUGUCAUUGGGUUUUGUGUUGACUUCAUUCCUGUCCUUAAGAAGAUAGGUCUCCCUAAAUCGCGGUAUGAUGGGAGACUGACUGGAAAAGGCACGCUAGGAGCGGACUCAAUAAUAUGUAGGGACGGGCAUUCUUGGUCUCAAGCACACUACCCAGUUCUAUAGAACUCUACCUUGGUGACCCCGUAUGUCGAUGAACACAAGAACAGUCUGUGCUCCGAACACCCGGAGCAGUGUGACGACUGGAUUACAUGUGAAUACAUCAGGACUUUCAGCAGUUGGUUGGAAACACGUCUAAGAGGUGACAACACUGUUUGUGAUGAGUUGUACUCGUUGUCCAGGGGACCAUCUUCGACUGUAUUGACUUACAAAGGAUACGAGAUAAAUGGGAAUACAUUUUACACGAGUGCCCAAGAUCAAAAGAGCACCAACCAAAACAGCGGUGUCCGCUUUGAUGCAGAAACCGAGAGGGGAAAGGACACACAUUAUGGUUACAUAGUGGACAUAUGGGAACUUGUCUACGGACGUGAUUUUAAGGUCCCUUUGUUUAAGUGCAAAUGGGUUAAUUAGUCAGGAAGCGGGGUACAGGUAGACCCACAGUACGGAAUGACAACAGUGGAUCUGAACAAUCUUGGGUACACUGACAAACCAUUCGUCCUAGCCAAUGAUGUGGCACAGGUUAUCUAUGUGAAGGACAUGUCUACCAAACCAAGAAAAAGAAAAGAUAAGGAAGCGAACACAUCAUACGAUGAGCCAAAGCGCCACAUAGUUCUUUCAGGAAAAAGGGACAUCGUGGGAGUGGGAGUGAAGGGCAAGACAGACAUGUCCGAAGAUUAUGAAAAGUUUCAUGAAAUUCCUCCCUUCAAAGUCAAGGCUGACCCAAGCAUCUUGAUAAACGAUGAAGAUUAUCCAUGGUUAUGGCACAAUAAGCAAAGGACACAACCGAAGAAAAAGUGAAGACUUUCUCUCCACAACUAUUAUGAUGAUACCAUACCAACUUUCAACCUUUUCCUACUUCAUUUGAAAUGCCUAUUGUAACAGACGAGUUUCCGUAUGAAACCCUGAUAGCUCGAAACAGAUUGUUCGUUUUUUUGAAAUGAUUAGAAAGUUUUGUUGAAAUGCUUUGAAUUUGGCAUUUUAUAAACCUCUAGUAUUAUUGAAACUAAAAUUAUAUAGAAUUUAUGCAACUAAAAUUAUCACAGUAUUUUCGGUUCAAAACAUUAAAAGCAAAAAGAAUUUUAUUGAUGAUGUGGCUUAUAGCUCAAUAAUAAUCAGUAAAUGCUUUUCAGUUUCAGGGUCUUAUAGCUCAAAAUAAUCAGCAAAUGCAUGAAAAAUAACAAAUGAAGUCAGAAAGGGUUGAAAAUUGAUGAUGUGGCUUUGAAUGGUGCAUUUUGAACACACAAAAAAUUAGGAGUUCACAGAAUUUUCAUAAAGAACUUUUUUGUUACAAACUUUAAUAGCAAAAAGAAUUAUCAUAAAAUACACUAAAUAAGUAAUUAGAAACAAAAUAAUAUAAACUUUAAUAAAAUAUAUAAGUAGAAAAAAAAUAAAAUAAAAUAAAAUAAACUUUGAUAACAUAAAUAAAAUUUAUGAAACUAAAAUUAUCAAAGUAUUUUCUGUUCAAAAUAUUAUAAGCAACCUCUAGUAUUAUUGAAACUAAAAUUACAUAAAAAAUUGAUGCAACUAAAAUUAUCAAAGUAUUUUCUAUUCAAAAUCAUUAAAAGCAAAAAGAAUUUUCAUAAAGAACUUUUUUUGUUAGAAACUUUAAUAGUAAAAUUAUAUAAUAAGUAAGUAAUUAGAAACAAAAUAAAAUAAAAUAAAAUAAAAUAAGUUUUUUGUUGUAAGUAGAAACAACACAAAAGAAAAUAAAGCAAAAAAGAAAACAAACAAACAGGGAAAAUUAAAAAAUAUGCCACCUACUGGCCCUCCACGGCCUGAAUACGACUAGAAACCCAUCCAUGGGCCAGGAUUCAGGCCCGCAGAAGGCCCAGCAGGCCCAUCGGGCAUACCAGUGACAAUUAGGCCCAAACGCCUGGAAUGGAAAGGAGCUCGAGAGGUGUGACGCCCCGAGACCGAUGUGCCAGGUGUCCGCCAGGUUUUCGCUGUUGUUGCCUUGUCAUUUGCUUGCGUGUUGCAUCUUUCAUGUCAUCAUGUGCAUUGCAUCAUCAUGUUUUCAAAAGUUGCAUCCGUCCCGGCCUCCCUAUUCCUUCCGUUGUCCGUUCUGAGUCCAAACACCCUUGCACGCGCCUGCGGCACGUCCGAAAUAUUAUUUUAUAAGUGGCCGAAAAAUGUUCUCGGAUUGGGUUUAAAGUUGGCGUGUGGUCUUAUUAUAGUGUAGAUAGACUGCCUGUCAAGUUUCAUCGCAUUCGGAGGUCGCUUGAUAGCCCAACUAUUAAACUAUAGCGGCGUUAUAGCCGGGCACACGUCGGACGUUUUCGGUCUCUGGAAACAGUCGUCGGGCCUUCUCUCUUCUCUUUUCUCAGCCUGAAGCUUUCUGCACAGUCCGCCGUCAACCGCCAGGCCCUGAAACCCUCUCUGCACAGUGCAUCGAACCCCUCGCGCGCGUCCGGAAGUUGUCCCGAACCCGACCCGGACAGUCGUUUUCAUUGUGUCAGGAUCAUCCCCAAACAUCUACAAAACGUCUCCGUUUUGUUAAUUGGACUUCCCAACAUAUGUUUUUCUCGACCGCUCGAUUUUCUUGGAGGGACGGAUUAGCCCCUACCCAAAUAUCCACAUGCUAUAUAUGUAUCAGUCCAACCCUAAAAAUUAGGAACUUUGUCCCUCCACCACCGCCAUCGGGUCGCAUCCCACCUCGGGGUCGCCUCGCCCGAUCCUCCUCGAUCCCCUCGCGCAAUCAGUGCAUUCCAUCGAUCCAUCCAUGCAACCAUAUCUCCCAGCGCCCACCUCCUCACCCCGAGCAGCUCGCGAGGCCCUGACCUCCUCUGCUCGUCCGGCCCUGCAGCAACCUUGCCGGAGCAGCACCCGCGUCCCCGCCGGCGACCACCUCCAUCAGGCCGGACCCCGCACCCGCUCGCUGCUUCUCCUUCCCUUCUUCUCUCGUUCCCUCUGGUUUCCUCUCUCACAUGUGGUCUCUCUUCUCCAUAAAAUUCGCAGGCCACCAUGGACAACCCCAGGAGCUCCCUCGUAGCCGCCGGAUCUGGCGUCUCACCGAAGAACGCCGUCCUCGCCCGAUUUCAGCCGCCCCUGCUUCCCAUCGAGCCUCCCUGCCCUGGAUCCGGUCGUUCCCGUGAUGUCCCUCCGCGCCAAGCCCCUCCAGCCGCGGGUCUCCUUCGCUGCAUCGAUGCGGCAACAGUUCGGGCAGAGGAGGAUGGCGCCUCUGCCUCGACACCCCGCGCAUCGCCUGCUUGCGUUGACCGCUGCGCGGGGCCCAGCGGUGCCCAAGGCCCAACAACGUCUUCUUGUCACCAGAUCCGGCCCAGCCGCUUCUCCACUUUCGGCCCAUGGCCCGAUGUGAGCAUAGCCCAACCCCUCCGCUAUUCUGUGCCUAUGCGUCUGAUAGUUAUGUUGCGCCUAUUGCCUUACUGGGCCUCUCCUUAGAUUCAGCCCAGUAUAAUUUUUUUCCUGUUCUACGAAUUUGUCUAUUUUUUUCCAGAAAACUGUUGUUUUACAGAAAAGUCCCUAGACAACAUGCAUAUAAUAACUCACAAACCGUGCAUCGGAUUAAAACAAACUAAAUAUGGAAGUUGCUUAGAAUUUUGUCUAGUUUCAUAAUAUGUCAUUUUCAUCCAUGUUUAAAAUGCUUAAAAUGCUGUUUGCUUAAAUUUGCUCCUAUGCCAUGUUAAAAUGCUUUAUUUCAUAAAUAAAUAACCGUAACUCCGAAUUUAAUAAACUUUAUAUGUAAAUGGGGUGGAAAAAUGCCUAGUUUAACAUGGUGUACUUGUUUUGCAUGUUUAAUAACUCUAAAAUUGUGUUUAGGGAAGAACAGUACCAAAUCUAUAAAAUGCUCAUGAGGAUUUUCCGGACUUGUUGUUUUGUUGUUCCGGCCUCAUUUAAGCUUGCCUAGAUAGGUAGUUUUCAUUAUGCUUCACCUCUUGCCAUGCUAACAACAUUUAAUAUUGUUGAGUACAUAAACAAGAUCGAACUAAAUAAGUCACGUGGUGUUUCGUCAAUAUGCAACGAAGUUGCAUAUUGAGCUCCACUUAAUUUGUAGGGUUGUUUGUGCACUUUGCCAUGCCAUGCCUCAUUAAACCGGACAUGCAUCAUACUUGUUUGCGCAUCGUGCCAUGCUUAUGUGGUGGUUGUUUACUAUGUUGUGUGCUUCUUUCCGGUGUUGCUUCUUUGGGUUGGUUCCGAUAACGUCGCGUUUGUGAGGACCCGUUCGACUACGUCUAUUUGUCUUCUUCAUGGACUCAUUCUUCUUCCUUGCAGGAUCUCAAGCAAGAUGACCAUACCCUUGAAAUCACUUCUAUCUUUGCUUGAUAGAUGCUCACUCUUUUUCUAUGCCUAUGCUGCGAUACCUACCACUUGCUUAUCAUGCCUCCCAUAUUGUUAAGCCAAGCCUCUAACCCACCUUGUCCUAGAAAACCAUUGUUUGGCUAUGUUACCGCUUUGCUCAGCCCCUCUGAUAGCGUUGUUAGUUCAGGUGAAGAUUGGAGAUUGUUCCAUGUUGGAACAUGUAUAUUUUGUUGGGUUAUCAUAAUAUAUUUUAUUUAAUUAAUGCAUCUAUAUACUUGGUAAAGGGUGGAAGGCUCGGCCUUAUGCCUAGUGUUUUGUUCCACUCUUGUCGCCCUAGUUUCCGUCAUAUCGGUGUUAUGUUCCCGGAUUUUGAGUUCCUUACACGGUUGGGUUAUAAUGGGAACCCCUUGACAGUUCGCUUUGAAUAAAACUCCUCCAGCAAUGCCCAACAUUGGUUUUACCAUUCGCCACCUAGCCUCUUUUUCCCUUGGCUUCCGCGGACUCAAGGGUCAGCUUUAUUAAACCCCCUAGGCCAGUGCUCGUCAAAACAGAGCCACUUACAGCGCCACCUCGGGGAAACUCGAGGGCUGGUUUUAGUUGUACGUAGUGUUCAUCUGAGUGUGCCCUGAGAAUGAGAUAUGUGCAGCUCCUAUCGGGAUUUGUCGGCACAUUCGGGUGGUGUUGCUGGACUUGUUUUACCAUUGUUGAGGAUGUCUUGUAACCGGGAUGCAGAGUCUGAUCGGAUUGUCUUGGGAGAAGGAAUAUCCUUCGUUGACCGUGAGAGCUUGUGAUGGGCUAAGUUGGGACACCCCUGUAGGGUUUUGAACUUUCGAAAGCCAUGCCCGCGGUUAUGGGCAGAUGGGAAUUUGUUAAUGUCCGGUUGUAGAAAACCUGAAGUUGAUCUUAAUUAAAAUGCAUCAACUGCGUGUGUAAUCGUGAUGGUCCCUUUCCGGAGGAGUCCGGGAAGUGAACACGGUGUUGGAGUAAUGCUUGACGUAGGUUGUUCUAGGAUCACUUCUUGAUCAUAGUUGUUCGACCGUGCUUUUGCCUUCUCUUCUCACUCUCAUUUGCGUAUGUUAGCCACCAAAUAUGCUAGUCGCUUGCUGUAGCUCCACCUCAUACCUUUUUACCCUACCUAUAAGCUUAAAUAGUCUUGAUCGCGAGGGUGUGAGAUUGCUGAGUCCCCGUGACUCACAUAUACUUCCAAAAUCAGUUUGCAGGUACCGAUGAAACUGUGCCGGUGACGCAACCGAGCUCAAGGAGGAGCUCGAUGAAGAUCUCGUUCAUUGUGUUGUUUCAUUUCAGUUGAUCAGUAGUGGAGCCUAGUUGGGACGAUCGGGGAUCUGUGUAGCAUUUCGGGUAGUCUUCUUUUAUUUUGGUUCCAUAGUUGGACCUUGUGUGUAUCUGGAUGAUGUAAUGCUUUAUUCUUGUAAUUGUGUGAAGUGGCGAUUGUAAGCCAACUAUGUACCUUUUUCCCUUAUGUAUUACAUGGGUUGUGUGAAGAUUACAUGACUUGCGACAUUGCUUUCAAUGCGAUUAUGCCUCUAAGUCGUGCUUCGACACGUGGGAGAUAUAGCCACAUCGAGGGCGUAACAAGUUGGUAAUCAGAGCCUUCCCCGACCUUAGGAGCCCCCUGCUUGAUCGAAUCGCUGGCGUUGUUGAGGCUAGAAAAAUGUUUUGAGUCAUUUAGGAUUAUAUAUAUCGGAGAGUAGGAUUCUUUUUACUCCUCAGUCCCUUCGUCGCUCUGGUGAGGCAUCCUGACGUAGAGUUUUGACUCUUCUCUUCUCAAAUUUCACUAAAUUUCUUUUAGGAUCACGUGGGUAUCUUGGAAUCGUUCCGAUGGUUUUGUGACGAGAACAUUGUUCUUGGUGCCUCCUGACAUUUAGGGGUUGUGGCAGUGUCCCAGGGUGUUGAGCUCCGAGGUGUUGUCGUCACAAUUUUAUCGUUGCAGUUCUGGAAUACCUGAGUUUCGCCGACAUCGAAAAUCUCUUUUAUGCAGUUGUUGGUGAGAUAACCUCGACGCCUCCCAGUACUGGGGCAGGAGUUCGGAGUAUUGCCAUAACUCGUAUAAUGGAUGCUUUUCGAAGGUUGAGGUAAAUGAUUUCCGAAGGCUUCUUGGUUAUGUGUUGAAGGAUGGAUACAGCUGGAUGUAGGUAUUGUUAGUUUGCAUGAGAUAUUAUGCUUCCCCUGUAUCCCCAACACCUGAUUGCAUAACUGAAAAGUUUCGGGAGUUUAUAAGUGGGAAUUCAAGUAGCUCCUAGGAUAUCUUUCCGACGGAUAUAUGAUAUGAAAUUGGGGUUCGACGUCUACUGGUCCGCCUAUCCACGGUUGGUUUUACAAUGGUCUCAUUGUGUCUUAAAGAGUCCUUGGCUAUGCUAACUCGGGGACGCUUCGUAUGUCAUGUGCACUGCCUUGUACGUGAUGGUGCUGUACGGUCGAUCCCGUGUAGGCCCCACCACGAAAACUUUGAACGAAAUCUCUAUCAUAUGUGUGUUCCGGCUUAUUUUGCAAGCCAAUCCUUUGUUUUUGUUUUCAGUUGUGGUAUUCGAGUUGCUUCAAUGUCAAAUGUGGAUUCCAUACCUUUCCUAAAUGGUGUUCUCAUACUUCUAUGUGAACACAAAUCCUUCAUCAUCAUCGAGAUUGUCAUGUUAAUUCUUUUUCAACCGGCGUGUUUCUCUUCAAGUGGAUCUGGUCAUUUCAACAUCAGCAAGAUCAAUUAUCAGUUCUUCUCAAUGUUGUUUGUUUCAUCCGUCCCAAAUUGCCUUUGUUUUUCCCACCCUACCCACCCUUUUUCUUCGAGGACUCAGAUAUCUUAAUCAAGUAUCCAUUUGAUUGAUGUGAGCUUUCUUCUUUUUCUUUCCAUCAAUGUUCUUAUCCGGGGAUUCUCAAGAAGAUGCUAACGGAGCUUCUAGUUCAUCAUUAUUCAUUCUUUUCUCCUCCGGUGGACGCAGAUCAAGCCUUCAGUGUUGUUCAUAUCCCAUUUUCUUCGUUUCAAAUGUGUUCUCAUGCCGGUGCACCUUAUUAUUAUUCCACUUCUCGCUAUUCAAUUGUUUUGGAGUGCUGAAGAUAUCUCGAGGUUGUUAUCUCAUUCAAGACUUUUAAUUCAACCGGUGCAUUCUGUCUUUUAAAUUGUUCUAUGGUAUUUCUUUUGAGUGGGCCCUAACCCAUAGGUCUUUUCCCAGGAUCUUACCUGACUCUUCUAAUUUUUCCCGGAGUUACUCCCAAAUUCUUUUCCAAGUUGGACGUAAGAAUGAAUUUUCAUCAGUCAGAUGUGUUUCUCCAAGAUCUCUCAAUUUCUUUUCAUCGUUGGCUCAACCUCUUCGCUUUUGAUUAUUCCGGAGUGCCUCAAUAAUUCAUGUUGGUGUUUCUCAUCGUAAUUCUCAGAUUUUGAAGACCAAAGAAGAGUUUCUCUUAAAUCUUCCCUCGUUCUCGUGAAGAUUCAUGGUGCUAGCUUUAUGCCAUCCUCUCAUAAUUGUUUUCGAAUUGUGAGAACUCUUUUCACCCAUCCGGAGCAAUUCAAGAGUCCCUUUAGUUUGAUUCUCCGAAGGCCAUCAUUUUAGUAUUAUUCAUUCCAGCUUUCAGCUCUAGUUCUCCAAAUCCUACUGGUGCAUCAUUCAAAUAUUCUCUAAUCAGUUCAUGAUCUUUUCGUUUCUUGUAUCUAAAUUCCCUCAAGUAUCUUCAUUCGUUCUCAAAUUCUUCCCGGUGUCUCGUUAUCUUUUAUUCGUUCAUUUCAAUUCUCACGGUGUUUUGUUCAAGAGUUCUCCUCCUUCGUUAUCAUACAGAUUCAUUCGUUCUUUCAUCCUACCGGUGGAUCAUCGAAGACCUUCUCAACUUUGCACUAUAUCUCUCUUAAUCUUUUCUACGAGAAUAAGUAGUAUGCCAAAUCCAUUGCUUGUCAUCAAUCUAAAUUGGUGAAGGACACACAUAACGUAAUUCUUAUUCUUGAUUCACCCAAAUGAUUAAUUCCUUAUUCUGAAGAUUCAUCAUAUCCUCUAUUUCAAUGUUUUCAUCUUUUCUUUUCCCGGAGUUCCUAGCUCUCUCAAUUAUAUCACCACGAAGAUCCAUCUAAAGCAUUACAAGGUUUUACCUUGUGUUUUCAACCUCUCUUUCUUUUUAUCAUCAUUUUGUUACCGGAGUUCUUCAUGGAGUUUCUACAUGGUGGUCCAAAAAGGAUUUAAUUCGUACUCCAAAUUUUCAUCGAGAUUCUUUUCAAAGGAGCUCAAGCAUUCUUCAUCUUGCAAUCCGGAGUGCAAUUCUUUCACACAUAUCUUUUGAGGUGGUGUUAUGUCAUUCUUGAUAAUUUUCACUUCGUGCUUUGUGAUUCACAAGUUAUCAAGAAUGAGAUAUUUUAAAUCCAUCAAUCUCGUUGUUGGAGAUAUCUUGGGUUAUAUUUCACCUAAAGCUUUCCCUAAGGAUUGUUGCUAUUGGUUCUAUUCAUAAAUGACCCAAGUUCUUCAUCUAUCCUCCCGGUGAAAUAAGUUUCUCGUCUCCUUGUUAAUAUCAAUCCAAUCUAUUAUUUCCGUUAGUGGCAGAUUUUCACCUCAUAAUUUGGGAUGUUUUCCUUAAUCCCACAACAAGCUAACUCUUUUCGUUGUUGAUUUCCCAACAACUCCGUUCAAUCCUUCUUUUAAGGAUGCUCUCUCAAAUUCAUUUCAGGUAGAACAUUGUUGUUUUCUUCUCCGUUCUUUUCAUUGCUUUCUUUCAUUUCUUCCGGAGGCAUUGAAUGAUUCUCUCUUCACUCACCAUCUCGUAUUGUGAAGAUCAUGUUCUUGUCAUGCCUAUCCAUUUAAGCGGAGUGUUGUACCCUUUUGAUCAAGUUCUUUUUGCCUGAUCAAGCCUUGCACCUCUUUUCAACCGGAGUGCUUUCUGAGAUCUUUCUUACCCCUUGUUCCAUUCAUUCAAUAGUUCUGGAGGCAGUGUGUUGUGAUUUCAUCAAGUAUCUUCUCAUCUUAUCAAGUUCUUAUUCAAUUCCUUUUCUUUUCAAUCGGAGUGCUGCCCAAAGUUGUUCUUCCUUGUCCCUCUUUUCUAACGGAGUGUUCUCAACUUCGUUCAUCUCUGUGGUAUUCUUUUCUCGAAAUGGCUUAACCUUUUCAAGGUUCUUUUGUAUCACUCGUUUGUCAAAGAAGCAAUUUGUUUUACCUCUUCUCUUCCUCUUCCUUUUCCCUCCGGUGCCAUCCUAGAUCUCGGGACGAGAUCCUCUCGUAGUGGUGGAGUGUUGUGACGCCCCGAGACCGAUGUGCCAGGUGUCUGCCAGUUUUUCGCUGUUGUUGCCUUGUCAUUUGCUUGUGUGUUGCAUCUUUCAUGUCAUCAUGUGCAUUGCAUCAUCAUGUUUUCAAAACUUGCAUCCGUACCGGCCUCGCCGUUCCUUCCGUUGUCCGUUCUGAGUCCAGACACCCUUGCACGCGCCCGCGGCACGUCCGAAAUAUUAUUUUAUAAGUGGCCGAAAAAUGUUCUCGGGUUGGGUUGAAAGUUGGUGUGUGGUCUUAUUAUAGUGUAGAUAGACCGCCUGUCAAGUUUCAUCGCAUUCGGAGGUCGUUUGAUAGCCCAACCGUUAAACUAUAGCGGUGUUAUAGCCGGGCACGCGUCGGACGUUUUCGGUCUCCAGAAACUGUCGCCGGGCCUUCUCUCUUCUCUUUUCUCAGCCUGAAGCUUUCUGCAUAGUCUGCUGUCAACCGCCAGGCCCCGAAACCCUCUAUGCAUAGUGCAUCGAACCCCUCGCGCGCGUCCGGAAGUUGUCCCGAACCCGACCCGGACAGUCAUUUCUAUUGUGUCCGGAUCAUCCCCAAACAUCUACAAAACGUCUCUGUUUUGUUAAUUGGACUUCCCAACAUAUUUUUUCUCGACCGCUCGAUUUUAUUGGAGGGACGGAUUAGCCCCUACCAAAAUAUCCACAUGCUAUAUAUGUAUCAGUCCAACCCUAAAAAUUAGGAACUUUGUCCCUCCACCGCCGCCAUCGGGUCGCAUCCCACCUCGGGAUCGCCUCGCCCGAUCCUCCUCGAUCCCCUCACGCAAAUAGUGCAUUCCAUCGAUCCAUCCAUCAAACCGUAUCUCCCAGCGCCCACCUCCUCACCCCGAGCAGCUCGCGAGGCCCCGACCUCCUCAGCUCGUCCGGCCCUGCAGCAACCUUGCCGGAGCUGCACCCGCGUCCCCGCCGGUGACCACCUCAAUCAGGCCGGACCAUGCAGCCACUCGCUGCUUCUCCUUCCCUUCUUCUCUCGUUCCCUCUGGUUUCCUCUCUCACAUGUGGUCUAUCUUCUCCAUAAAAUUCGCAGGCCACCAUGGAUAGCCCCAGGAGCUCCCUCGCAGCCACCGGAUCUGGCGUCUCACCGGAGAACGCCGUCCUCGCCCGGUUUCAGCCGCCCCUGCUUACCGUCGAGCCUCCCUACCCUGGAUCCGGUCGUCCCCGUGACGUCCCGCCGCGCCAAGCCCCUCCAGCCGCGAGUCUCCUUCACUGCAUCGAUGCGGCAGCAAUUCGGGCAGAGGAGGAUGGCACGUCUGCCUCGACACCCCGCGUGUUGCCUGCUUGUGUUGACCGCUGCGCGAGGCCCAGCGGUGCCCAAGGCCCAGCAACGUCUUCUUGUCACCAAAUCCGGCACAGCCGCUUCUCCACUUUCGGCCCAUGGCCCGAUGUGAGCAUAGCCCAGCCCCUCCGCUAUUUUGUGCCUGUGCGUCUGAUAGUUAUGUUGCGCCUAUUGCCUUACUGGGCCUCUCCUUAGAUUCAGCCCAGUAUAGUUUUUUUCCUGUUCUAUGAAUUUGUUUAUUUUUUUCCAGAAAACUGCUAUUCUAUAGAAAAGUCCCUAGACAACAUGCAUAUAAUAACUCACAAACUGUGCAUCGGAUUAAAACAAACUUUAUAUGGAAGUUGCUUAGAAUUUUGUCUAGUUUCAUAAUAUGUCAUUUUCAUCCAUGUUUAAAAUGCUUAAAAUGUUGUUUGCUUAAAUUUGCUCCUAUGCCAUGUUAAAAUGCUUUAUUUCAUAACUAAAUAACCGUAACUCCGAAUUUAAUAAACUUUAUAUGUAAAUGGGGUGGAAAAAUGCCUAGUUUAACAUGGUGUACUUGUUUUGCAUGUUUAAUUACUCUAAAAUUGUGUUUAGGGCAGAACAGUACCAAAUCUAUAAAAUGCUCAUGAGGAUUUUCCGAACUUGUUGUUUUGUUGUUCCGGCCUCAUUUAAACUUGCCUAGAUAGGUAGUUUUCAUUAUGCUUCAUCUCUUUCCAUGCUAACAAUAUUUAAUAUUGUUGAGUACAUAAACAAGAUCGAAAUAAAUAAGUCAUGUGGUGUUUCAUCAAUAUGCAACGGAGUUGCAUAUUAAGCUCCACUUAAUUUGUAGGAUUGUUUGUGCACUUUGCCAUGCCAUGCCUCAUUAAACCGGACAUGCAUCAUACUUGUUUGCGCAUCGUGCCAUGCUUAUGUGGUGGUUGUUUACUAUGUUGGGUGCUUCUUUCCGGUGUUGCUUCUUCGGGUUGGUUCCGAUAAUGUCGCAUUUGUGAGGAACCGUUCGACUACGUCUGUUUGUCUUCUUCAUGGACUCAUUCUUCUUCCUUGCGGGAUCUCAGGCAAGAUGACCAUACCCUUGAAAUCACUUCUAUCUUUUCUUGCUAGAUGCUCGCUCCUUUGCUAUGACUAUUAUCAGUGUCAAAACUGGCGGAUCUCGGGUAGGGGGUCCCGAACUGUGCGUCUAGGCGGGAUGGUAACAGGAGGCAGGGGACACGAUGUUUUACCCAGGUUCGGGCCCUCUUGAUGGAGGUAAAACCCUACAUCCUGCUUGAUUAAUAUUGAUGAUAUGGGUAGUACAAGAGUAGAUCUACCACGAGAUCAGAGAGGCUAAACCCUAGAAGCUAGCCUAUGGUAUGAUUGUAUGUUGUCCUACGGACUAAAACCCUUCGGUUUAUAUAGACACCGGAGAGGGUUAGGGUUACACAAGGUUGGUUACAAAGGAGGAGAUAUCCAUAUCCGUAUUGCCUAGCUUGCCUUCCACGCCAAGUAGAGUCCCACCCGGACACGAGACGACGUCUUCAAUCUUGUAUCUUCAUAGUCCAACAGUCCGGCCAAAGGAUAUAGUCCGGCUAUUCGGAGACCCCCUAAUCCGGGACUCCCUCAGUAGCCCCCGAACCAGGCUUCAAUGACGAUGAGUCCGGUGUGCAGUAUUGUCUUCGGCAUUGCAAGGCGGGUUCCUCUCCGAAUUCUGUGUACCUGUCGAAAUAAUGUCCGAUUUCUUGUGAAUGUUGCACUCCUUGGCUUCCACACCCAAUAAUGGCCACUUUCCACGUGUCGAGCGAAUGUGAAGAGCCAGGGUGUUUUCACAUUUACCCCCUAGCUGUGUGAAUGAGCCGCCUAUUUAAAAAGACGAGGAUUCAGAUCCAAAUCACACCAUCCUCCCUUGGCGAGUCUUCAUCGGAGCGCGCCCGACAGAGAUCCAUUCCAACAUGGCCGGUCGACGCAACUCCUCCUCUCGCACCCCUAGCUCCAAGCCUGGAGAUUGGGAGAGAUGUUCCAUCUCGCACAGCAAAUUAGUGAUGCUUCAGUCCAAGGGAUUUCUUCCCCCAGCGUGCAUGGUCCCGGUUCGAGCCGGGCUCGCCACCUAUAAUGGCGGAGAGCAAGCGGAGAGCCUUCCCAAUCCCUCCAAGGGAGAGCGGGUAUGCCUUGUCCCUUAUUUAGUAAGAGGGAUCGGAUUUCCAAUUCAUCCGUUUCUCCUGGGGAUCCUGGAGUUCUACGGCCUCCAGUUGCACAAUCUUACGCCUGCCUCCCUACUGCAUAUCACGGGAUUCGUAGCCCUUUCCGAGUUGUUUUUGGGCUGUGAGGCUCAUUUCACUCUAUGGAAGAAUAUGUUCUGCCUUGUGCCCUGUUCUCAGAAGGGGUCAAUAUAUCAAGUGGGCGGAGCCAAAGUGUGGCAUAUUGCCGGGACCGGAUACCUAUCCGGGACACCAAAGAAGACGUCCAGAGACUGGCCUUCAGAAUGGUUUUAUAUAGAAGACGUCCCCCUCCCGGAUCCUAUUCGGAUCGGCCUUCCUGAGUUCAACAACGCCCCUUUGAAGAAGCGUCGGAGCUGGCGUCCACGGAGCUCCCUGGAGGAAGAUGAGAGGGACAUUCUUUACCUGAUGAGCCGGAUAAGUUUUUUAGCUCGAUCCAGAUUGACCAUGAUCGAAGUCAUGGCCAUAUGCAUCAUGCAGGGGGUGCAGCCGCUUCAGUAUAGAGGCCACCCCAUGUGGGAUUUCAAUGGGGAGGAUGACGCCACCCGGCACGGCCGCAAAGGGCCGGGAUCGGCUGCAGAUCUAAUAAAGAUCUUAUCCACUUUGUACAAGGGAGAAGAGGAGGAAUUCCUUUGUGUCAACCCGUAGGGCCGAUUUUCUAUGUACAAUCCUCUGAGCUGGGUAUGCGGAGACUUUUUAUCGCCCAUCCAUUUCGUAUUCCCGCAGUUAAGUAUUCAUUCUAGCAAUUUCAUCGCAGGAGCUGCGCUAGGCUGUAAAGGAGAUAAACAACCCUCCUCCACAACCUGAGGACCCUGGACGGUCCCUUGACCCGGCCUCCCAGGAGGAUCCGGACAUAUCUAUGGAGCUGAUCAAUGGGGUAUUUUACCAAUCGAGUAAUGACAAUGCUUUGGUGGCCAUUAUGGCCGAUUACCCUGGGCUAGUUCCAGCCUCACAGGUGACUGAGAACGAAGUCCCAGCAGUUCAAAAAGGGAUCCGUCCUUGCGUGUUUUUGAUCGUCGUAUAACAGCUGUGUUUUGCAGGGGAGGUCCUCGAGGCCGAAGGCCGAGCCUGCGGCGACUGGCCAACAAGGGGCCGCGAGGCCACGCAGGCUGAAAAGACCCGCAGUCUGGAUUGAGACACCGGCGCAGCGGUAUGGCGCGCCAUCCUUAUCGCAAGACAUUAUUCUCAGGGGCAUAUUAACGCCCAUGCCUUCUUUUCAGGAAAAAGAGCACUCGCCGGACUAUACCCGGAGAGGCUACCAAUCGCGCCUCCACAAGACAGGCUCCAAGGCCGGUUUCGGAGGCGGGAACGAAUACAAGGCGUGCGCCGGGUGCUCCUCCGACAGAGGAUGCAGAUAAACUGUCUGCCACCUAUUUCGAGGUGGAAAGUGCCAUGAACCACAGGCGUCGCCGGACUGUUCUUCGUGAUGCUUGUUUCUCCCAAGAGGCAUUGGAUGCCUUCAACUCGGGAGAGGCGCACCUCCAUGCCGCUCAAAAUGGUCUAGCCAGAGCCACGGAGCAGUAUGUAAAAGACAUACGGGUGAGAAAAUUUGGUGAUUAUAUAUAUCAGUAGCCCCUGAGACUUGAAACAGUUAGGAUAACUAAUUUAAGGAUCAUUUGUUAUGCAGGUUCUUACAGAAAAGAAUACCCAACUGUCCUAGGAGCUAGAAAAGUGCAAAGCCCAACUUCAGGCCGCACUGGCUGUAGCAGGGGAUCCCAAAGAGACCCCCUCUGGUAAUAUAUCCUUCAAAUGAUAAGUAUCAUAUAGAAUGCGGCGUGUAUGCAGAUCUGACAAUAAAAUUCCAGAUGACACUGGAGUAAAUCCGGAUAAGCAGCAGCUCCAACGCCAGCUGAAGGCCGGUGAGAACGUGCUUACGCGGGUGAGGCAGGAGAAAAAUGUUCUCCAAGAUGCCAACACCAAGCUGGGUGUGGAACUACAAGAUGUUCGCGCCCAACUGUCGGACUCUGUUAAGGAAAAUCGGCGGCUUCGACGCGGCAUAUUUAGUAAGUGCUUGAACGAACUUUGAAAAAGAGUUCGGCGAGGAAGCUGGCUGACAGAGUUAUGUCCGUAGGUAUGCUAACAGGUCGUCCUGCCGAGGAGAUGCCUGGUUCAACAGGUGACCUUCUUCCCGAGCUCUCACAGCUGCAUGAAUGAGUUCGGCAGGUGAUGCAAGGCGUCGCCCAGGCCUUGUGGCCAUCCGUCUCCAUACCCGAAGGCCUUGGAGAGCUUGCAGAAAAGCUGAAGGGAGCACGGCGGUGCUUCCGAUUAUGGAAGAUAUCGGCCUGCCGUCAGGGCGCCAGGGAAGCCUAGGUAAUGGUGAAGACACGGUAUACGAAGGCUGACCCAAACCACAUGGCCGAAGUCAGACCUGUGGGGCCUGAUGGGAAGGAGAUCCCUGUGAGCUUAGUGUACGGCCAAGUAGAAUUGGCCGCAAAGUGUUCCCAACAGGAUUGUCGACUAGACAGCCUAUUGGAUGGUAUUGAAGAGGAAUUCAACUAGUCAAAUUGACUAUGUAAUUUUAAGUGACAUGUAUAAUGCCUUCUAGCUGGAUUCUAGAUCGUUUGUCGUGGCGGACCUUUUCGCCUCAACCUCGGGACCCGACAGUCUGGAGUGUAUCUGAAUACCCUCUCGGUUAUGUAAGAACUGGGGCAUGCGUGGAGACCAGGCGUAGGGGUCAUUAGUGCUUUAUCAGACAAGUUCCCAACUAGUUAUGUUAUAUUACAUGGGUAGUAAGAAACAUCUUCCAGGGAGAAUAGUUCCGUUAAGGGUUCCUUUCCCUGGGUAAGCAUGCCCUAAAGUGCAUGCCCAGACAGCGAUAAGAAGCGCAGAAAAAUCAUCUGGGGGCAGAUAUGAAUAAUAAAAGUCAUCUUUUGUUCACCGACCGAAUAUUCCCUUACGAACGCUAGCUUUCGGCUUCACCCAGUCUGAGGUACACGUCCGGCUGACCCGGAGGUAACAAUCGCAGAGGUGCUCCCCUUAUGCCCUAGCCGAAUUAACGGGAACGUAGGGCAUAAAUACAAGAGCCAGGCAACCCAGCUUGGCCAAAACUUAAGUCAUAUCGAUGCAUAUAAUGGUGAAAAAAGGUACAUGCGGAAGUAUAACACAUGUGUUGGGCGUGAGGCCCAGGAAAAUAACUUAAGCUUCUGUGAAAGAAGCCCCCAGGUAUGAAGAGUGCGGCUAGUGCAUCUGUAGUGUGCGAGUGAGGCACAAGGUGACCCUUGAAGGCCUAGAGAAAUAAAGGAAGAAAGGGAAACAAGACAGAUGAUGCGUAUGCAGAAAAUGGACAAAGGGAGGGGACUAACAUAGAGUCCGGUGCUAAGCGUAGAAUCUUCGAAGCCUAGCUGCGUUCCAUGGGUUCGGCUCGAGUCGACUAGUCGAUGCAUCCCGCAGUCGGUACGCUCCACCGGUCAGAACUUGGUCGGUAAUAAAGGGACCUUCCCAUUUGGGCUCGAGCUUGUUCUUUUUCUUAUCCGGCAGCCGUAGAACUAGUUCGCCAACGUUAUAAGUUUUGGCCCGUACUUCUCUGCUUUGGUAUCUGCGAGCCUAUUGCUGGUAAAAUGCGGAACGGGCUUUGGCUACGUCGCGCUCUUCCUCCAAGGUGUCCAGACUGUCCUGCCGAUCGAGCUCGGCUUCUCUUUCUUCGUACAUGUGCACUCGAGGUGAGUCAUGAAUUAUGUCACAGGGCAGGACUGCCUCUGCGCAGUACACCAUAAAAAACCGGUGUAUAUCCGGUACUACGAUUCGGCGUGGUCCGCAGCCCCCAGAGUACGGAGUCGAGCUCCUCUACCCAAUGCGUGUCAGACUCCGUUAAGGAGCGUACUAAUCUGGGUUUAAUGCCGCUCAUUAUAAGACCAUUUGCUUGUUCGACUUGACCGUUGGUUUGUGGGUGAUAGACUGAAGCAUAAUCGAGCUUGAUGCCCAUUUUGCUGCACCAGAGUUUUACCUCGUUGGCCAUGAAGUUCGUGCCGUUAUCAGUGAUGAUGCUGUGGGGGACGCCGUAACGGUGUACAACCCCGGAUAUGAAAUCUAUCACCGGUCCGGAUUCGGCUGUUUUAACCGGUUUAGCCUCUAUCCAUUUGGUGAAUUUAUCCACCAUGACCAAUAAGUAUUUUUUCUUGUGGGUUCCCCCUUUAAGGGGUCCAACCAUGUAAAGCCCCCAGACCGCGAAGGGCCAUGUAAUGGGGAUUGUUUGGAGGGUGGUGGGUGGCAUGUGGCUUUGAUUUGCAAAGAGCUGGCAACCAGCGCAACGUUGGACCAAGUCCUGUGCAUCUGCCCGGGCCGUUGGCCAAUAGAAUCAUGUACGGAAGGCCUUGCUUACAAGAGCUCGGGCUGCGACGUGAUGACCGCCGAGUCCGGCAUGAAUUUCUGCUAGAAGGUUCCGCCCUUCCUCUUCGGAGAUGCACCUUUAAGGACUCCGGUAGCGCUUUUUUUGUACAAUUCUCCCUCAUGGACCCUGUAGGCCUUGGAUCGCCAUACUAUGCAGCAUGCCUCAUUUUGGUCCUCCGGAAUUUCCUGUCUAGUUAGGUAGGCCAGGAAGGGUUCUAUCCACGGGGCAAUAAUGGCCAUUAUUACGUGGGCUGAAUUUGUUAUUUCGGUGGCAGAGCCUCCGAUUGUGUCAGAGAGUUCGGUAUCGGGUAUUUUGGCCGGGUCCGGACUGUUGUUACCGAUGUCCCCUUCCCAUGCUACAGAUGGCUUGAAGAGCCAUUCCAUAAAUAGGUUGGGAGGGACCGCGUCUCGUUUUGCGCCGAUGCGGGCGAGGAUAUCCGCCGCCUGAUUGUUUUCCCGAGCCACAUGAUGAAAUUCGAGCCCCUCGAACUGAGCUGACAUUUUUAGGACAGCAUUGCGAUAAGAUACCAUUUUCGGAUCCUUGGCAUCGAAGUCUCCAUUUAUCUGGGAUAUCGCGAGGUUCGAGUUCCCGCACACCUCUAGGCGUUGAAUGCCCAUGGAUACUGCCAUCCGGAGACCAUGUAGAAGGGCCUCAUAUUCGGCUGCGUUGUUGGAGUCUGUAUACAUUAUCUGUAGUACGUAUUCAACGGUAUCUCCUAUUGGGGACGUCAAAACGACGCCUGCCCCCUGACCAGCCAACAUUUUGGAGCCGUCGAAGUCCAUGAUCCAGUUUGAAUAUGUGUCGUACUCUUUAAGGAGUUUGGCUUCCGUCCACUCAGUGACGAAGUCAGCCAAAACUUGCGACUUAAUAGAUCGCCGUGUCUUGUAAGUUAUGUCGAACGGGAGGAGCUCAAUGGCCCAUUUUGCAAUCCGGCCCGUUGCGUCGCGGUUGUUUAUAAUAUCGUUAAGUGGUACUUCCGAGGCUACCGUUAUCGAACACUCUUGAAAGUAGUGUCGCAGCUUCCGGGAUGCCAUAAAUACCGCGUACGCUAUCUUUUGAUAAUGCGGGUACCAUGAUUUGCAUGGAGUAAGGACAGUGGACACAUAGUAGACCGGCUUUUGAAGGGGGAAUUUGUGUCCGUCCACUUCUCGCUCGACGACGAGCACUGUGCUUACUACUUGAUGAGUUGCCGCAAUGUAUAAUAGCAUUGGUUUGCCAAUGUUUGGCGCGGCCAGGACUGGGUUUGUUGCCAAUAUGGCUUUUAUUUCGUUGAGUCCGGCUGACGUGGCAUCAGUCCACUCGAAGUGUUCGGUGCACCGGAGGAGGCGAUAAAGGGGUAAUGCCUUUUCUCCCAAGCGAGAGAUAAAGCGGGUUAGAGCCGCCGCGCAUCCAGUCAAUUUUUGUAUUUGUUUGAGGUCUGUUGGGGUAGCCAACUGUGACAAUGCUCGGAUUUUGGCCGGAUUAGCUUCAAUACCUCUACUGGAGACAAUGAAUCCCAGGAGCUUUCUGGCUGGUAUGCCGAAAACGCGUUUUUCCGGAUUGAGCUUGAUGUCAUAUGUUCAGAGGUUGUCGAAUGUGAGCCUCAAGUCGUCUACUAGAGUUUCGACAUGCUUGGUUUUAACGACCAUGUCGUCCACGUAUGCCUCCACUGUUUUGCCAAUCUGGUUUGCCAGACAUGUCUGAAUCAUGCGCUGAUAUGUUGCGCCGGCGUUUUUGAGCCCGAAGGGCAUUGUGUUGAAGCACAAUGGGUCGUAUGGUGUGAUGAAUGUCGUUGCGGCUUGGUCUGGCUCCGCCAUUUUAAUAUGAUGGUAGCCGGAGUAUGCGUCGAGGAAACACAAUGAAUCGUGUCCUGCGGUAGCAUCGAUGAUUUGAUCAAUGCGGGGGAGGGGGAAGGGAUCCUUUGGGCAGGCCUUGUUAAGGUCCUUAAAAUCGACGCACAAGCGCCAAGAUUUGUCCUUCUUUGGUACCAUCACCAGGUUUGCUAGCCAGUCCGGAUGUUUUAUGUCUCUGAUGAAUCCGUCCUCCAAUAGCUUGGCUAGUUCCUCUCCCAUGGCUUGUCUCUUAGGCUCGGAGAAACAUCGAAGAGCAUGCUUGACUGGCUUGAAUCCUUUUAGGAUAUUUAGGCUGUGCUCAGCCAGCCUGCGUAGGAUUCCUGGCAUGUCUGAAGGGUGCCAGGCAAAAAUGUCCUAGUUCUCGCGUAGGAACUCUCGCAGUGCGGCGUCGACAUCAGGGUUUAAUUGUGCCCCGAUCGAAGCUGUUUUUGUAGGGUCCGUUGGGUGGACUUGGAAUUUGACUAUUUCAUCCGCCGGUUUAAAGGAGGUGGACUUGGAUCUUUUAUCGAGUAUCACAUCGUCCCUGUUCACCAUGGAGCGCAGCUCAGUUAGUUCCUCGGUCGCUAGGGCUUCGGAUAGUGCCUCGAGGGCGAGUGCGACUGUCUUAUUUUCAGCGCGGAUUGCUAUGUCCGGAUCACUAGCAAGAGUGAUGAUUCCGUUGGGCCCGGGCAUUUUGAGCUUCAUGUACCCGUAAUGGGGUAUGGCUUGGAAGAUUGUAAACGCCUCCCGCCCUAGUAGAGCGUGGUAUCCGCUGCUGAACGGGGCCACUUGGAAUGUAAUUUCUUCGGACCUAUAAUUAUCCGGCGUGCCGAAUACCACAUCUAGUGUGAUUUCCCAGCACAGCGUGCUUCCCGACUAGGGAUGAUUCCUCUAAAGGUUGUGCCACUUUGCUCAAUGCAGCUCCUGUCUAUUUCCAUCUUUUGAAGAGUUUCCUCAUAGAUGAGGUUUAAUCCGCUGCCGCCGUCCAUGAGUACCUUGGUGAGUCGAAAGCCAUCCAUGAUUGGACUGAGGACCAGUGCGGCUGGUGCUCGGGCUGUUCGGAAUUUGGGUUCGUCACUGGCAUUGAAGGUAAUAGUCGUGUCACUCCAAGGAUUUAUUUCUGCUAUGUGGCAGAUUUCGGCCAUGCUGCGGAGUGUUCGCUUGCGUCUAUUAUUUGACGCGAAGGUCUCAAAGACCGUUAACACCGUAUUGUUGUCCACGGGAUGGUGCUCUGUGGUUUUUGGGAGGAGUAGAUCCUGACCACUUUUGGCCACCUGCCGGAGUAUCCAACAUGCUCUAAGGCUGUGCGUUGGUAUUGCAUCCGCUAUACUAUGAAUUUUGCAGGGUCCGUUGAGCCAUCCCUCCAGUACGGUUCCUUGCCCCGUAGAGGGCUUUUGCUUUUUGGUAGUUAACCCAUGUGUAUUGUGAUAAUGCACCCUUUUAUUUCGGACUGAGUUUGUAUUCAGGGCCGGAUUAUCCCAAAAUUUUAUUUCGGUUUUCCAGGCGCUUUCCAUCGCACAGUACUUUUGUACUAUGGACACCAAGUCGGUAAAGCGUGUAAUUUCGCGGCGACUUAUGGCGUUGAGGAUUCCCUUGUCCGUGCAAUUAUUGCAGAAGAAUGAAAUUGCGUCUUCCUCGCGGCAGUCCUUUAUCCUGUUCAUGACCAGGAGGAAUCUGGCCCAGUAAUGGUGUACUGUUUCUUCGGGCUCUUGCCUAAUUUGGGAUAGAUCGCGUAAGUUUGGGUGGGUGGGUGGAAUUGAAUCCGAAUCCUUACCCAAUCUGAGACUCAGGGGCCAAGGGGUUUCCGAGCUCGAAAUUUGGAUUCUUGGAUGUUUUCCGAUAAAUCUAGCCCGCUGCCUAAUUCUAGGUUCAGGCCUUGAGUGACGUCCUCCCCUCCGCGGGUAUCCAUCUUGGAGGGAUCUGGAAUCCGGACAUAGCUAGUCCUUAAGAUAGAUGAAGGGUUGCCGCAUUGUUCCUCCACCACUGCAACGUGAUGGGUGACCUGGGGAGAGUUGAUCUCUCUCAGAUCAGGUUUAGGCCCAAUCUGAUCGUAGUCUGUAGCGACUCCCAGGGCGGUGAUGCGAUCCAAGAGCUAGUUCAGGGAAGAGAGCUCCAUUGGAUCUAACUGCUCGGCGAGUUCCGAGUUGACGUGAAGAUUGCUUUCGAUCACCCGAGAAGUCAUCGUCGGCGCAGCGGCCGAACAGGCGGUCAUAAGAAAACCACGUAGCCGGAGAGUUUGGCCGAUAGCCAAAGCUCCCUCAGCAAUAGUGCCGUCUUUAAAGACAGGAUGAGACAUCCUUCCUGGUGGUGAUGGCACAGCGGAACUCUCAAUGAAAGUACCAAUGUCGGUGUCAAAACCGACGGAUCUCGGAUAGUUGGUCCCGAACUGUGCAUCUAGGCCGGAUGGUAACAGGAGGCAGGGGACACGAUGUUUUACCCAGGUUCGGGCCCUCUUGAUGGAUGUAAAACCCUACGUCCUUCUUGAUUAAUAUUGAUGAUAUGGGUAGUAGAAGAGUAGAUCUACCACGAGAUCAGAGAGGCUAAACCCUAGAAGCUAGCCUAUGGUAUGAUUGUGUGUUGUCCUACGGACUAAAACCCUUCGGUUUAUAUAGACACCGGAGAGGGUUAGGGUUACACAAGGUCGGUUACAAAGGAGGAGAUAUCCAUAUCCAUAUUGCCUAGCUUGCCUUCCACGCUAAGUAGAGUCCCAUCCGGACACAAGACGAAGUCUUCAAUCUUGUAUCUUCAUAGUACAACAGUCCGGCUGUCCGGAGACCCCCUAAUCCGGGACUCCCUCACCUAUGCUGCGAUACCUACCAGUUGCUUAUUGUAACACCCUCGAUGCGACCAUAUCUCCCACGUGUCGAGGCACGACUUAGAGGCAUAAUCGCAUUGAAGGCAUAUGUCGCAAGUCAGGCAAUCAUCACAAACAUCCCAUGCAAUAUAGAUAAUAAAAAGGGAUAACAUAGUUGGCUUACACUCGCCAUGUCAAUCAAGUACAUAUAUAACAUACAUCAUCCAAACACUCAUGGCCCGACUACGGCGCCAAAAUGAAAGAUAACCCAACAAGCGACAUGGUCCCGAUCACCCCCAACAGGGCACCACUACUGAUCAUCAGUAAAGGAAACAUAGUAACGUUGAGAGUCCUCGUCGAACUCCCACUUGAGCUCGAGCGCGUCACCUGGAGCGGAAUCACCUGGACCUGCAUCUGGAGUUAUAGUAUCUGUGAGCCACAGGGACUCAACAUUCUCGCACCCUCACGAUCAAGACUAUUUAAGCUUAUAGGUAUGGCAAGGUAAAAUAUGAGUGGAGCUGCAGCAAGCGACUAGCAAGUAUGGUGGCUAACUUAUUCGCAAAAGAGAGCGAGAAGAGGAGGCAAAGCACGAGCGAGAAUCUAGAAGAACAACCUGCACAAGCAUUACUCCAACACCGUGUCCACUUCCUGGACUCCGCUGAGAAGAGGCCAUCACGGUAACACACACAGUUGAUUCAUUUUAAUUAAUUAAGGUUCAAGUUAUCUAUAACCGGACAUUAACAAAUUCCCAUCUGCCCAUAACCGCGGGCACGGCUUUCGAAAGUUCAAUCCCUACAGGGGAGUCCCAACUUAGCCCAUGACAAGCUCUCACGGUCAACGAAGGAAUAGACCUCCUCCCAAGACAAUCCGAUCAGACUCGGUAUCUCGGUAUCUCAAGACACUUCGACAGGUUAAAACAAGACCAGCAACACCGCCCGAAUGUGCCGACAAAUCCCGAUAGGAGCUGCACAUAUCUCUUUCUCAGGGCACACUCGGAUUGUCUAAACUUCUGGUAGGCCAGCCCAGAGUUUCCCCUGGUAGCCACCGGCGGCUGACGAUUUGGACCAACACUCAGAGGAGCACUGGCCCGGGGGGGGUUAAAAUAAGAUGACCCUUGAGUCUGCAGAACCCAAGGGAAAGAAAAGGCUAGGUGAGAAAUGGUAAAACCAAGGUUGGGCAUUGCUGGACAAGCUUUAAUCAAGGAGAAAUAUCAAGGGGUUCCCAUUAUAACCCAACCGCGUAAGGAACGCAAAAAUCCGGGAACAUAACACCGAUAUGACGGAAACUAGGGCGGCAAGAGUGGAACAAAACACCAGGCGAGAGGCCGAGCCUUCCACCCUUUACCAAGUAUAUAGAUGCAUUAAGAUAACAAGAUAAUAUGAUGAUAUCCCAACAAGUAAAUAAAUGUUCCAACAAGGAACGGCCUUCAAUCUUCACCUGCAACUAGCAACACUAUAAGAGGGGCUGAGCAAAGCGGUAACAUAGCCAAACAAUGGUUUGCUAGGACAUGGUGGGUUAGAGGUUUGACAUGGCAAUUUGGGAGGCUGGCAAGCAAAUGGUAGGCAUCGUAGCAUUGGCAUAGCAAAGAGCGAGCAAACUAGCAUAGCAAAGAUAGUAUUGAUUUCGGGGGUAUGAUCAUCUUGCUUGCAAAGCUGUCAGAGUUGACUGGAUCCUCGAAAGAAAACUCAACGGGCUCCUCGUUAGCAAACUCGUCUCCCGGCUCUACCCAAACAAGACAAACAAGCAACAAGGACACAAUCAACCACGUGCAAGGAUCAAACAAUAUGAUGCAAUGAUGAUAUGCUAUGCGGGAUGCGAUGCGGGAUGCAUAUGCAAGAUGUGACAGGAAAUGCAUGAACCUGGCCUCAACUUGGAAAUCCAAGUGUUCCACUAGAAAGAUGAUAUGAAAUUGCUUGAAAAUGAUAUAAAGAACGCCGGAAUUGGAGUUACGGUUUGGAAAUGGCAAGCGAUUCAAAUAUGACACCGGUCUGCCAUUUACAGCAAGUAACCAACUAAAUGCAAUGAGAUGAACAUGCUACUGCACCGAAACAUGACAACAAAAUACAUGGCAGGGAUGCAUUCAAGAUGCUUACCAAAAGUCUAGCACUGAGCUACGGCCAAUUCAUCCAUUAACAGGUUCAAACAAGCAUGGCAAAAAUGCAUAUGGAAAACAGAUCUCACACUUAGUGAAAUUAACACUUGUCUGGAAUUUCAGACCAAGUAGUACUUUUCGGAGCAACGAAACUACAUGCUACAGGACCUGAACAUGGCAAAGAAAGGCAUGGCAUGGAGCUACUCAAAUAGCUUAACAAAAGUCCCUUAGUGACCUUGAGCCAAAAGGGAUCAGAAAAUAUACUAACAAGCACGUGAACAUAGCAAAACCAUAAUCAGUUUUCAGACUUAGUGAAAACUGGCACAUGCGGAAACAUAACUCAGGUAGGCAUGUUUACGAGCUCGAUGCACUCACUACGGAGCAAGUCAUGACAAGAUAAGCAUACAUCUAUCAACAACACACAAAAUUCAAGCUAGACAUGGAAGAACAAUGGCAUAGCAUGCACGGAUCAACUACAACAUCAUCGGCAAAAUUGCAAACAAGUUGACAAUCUGCCCAGAUUCACAAAGUAGCAAAAUUAGAGCUCGAUUGACUCAAGCUAUGGUGCUCCAUAAAUUAAAACAAAGACAUGGAUGGAUAGAGCACUACAAUAUGAAUAAAACAUCCUUAGUGAUCAUCCUCAAAAGAGGCACGGAUCACUAGGAAACAACAUGAACAUAUGGCAACAUGAGAUAAACAGAUCAAGGACUUGGUGGAAUUGCUAAGUCCCUGAAAACAGAAUUACUAAGUGCACCACUUUGCAAGCUUGCACUAGUCACCACACACAUCACAAAAAUACAUGGGUUGCACCUCUGGAAAGAUUACAAAACCCUUAACAAAACAUAUGUAGAGCAUCAGGGCAUAUCAUGCACACAAUAAUCAAGGCAAAAUGACAAAAAGCUAAAUGGAGUAGCAGAUCUGACAAUUAACUCAAGUAGCCCUCUUCUGAUAGCAUUUCGGGCAUCAAGAUGAACUCAAAUGAAAAUGAUGCAAUGGAAUGAAAUGAUAUACUCUCUGAGAUGAACAUUUUGAUAUGCUAUAUGCAUGAAUGGGAGCUACGGAUGUGGAGUUAUGACAUGAUGAAUAUAGGCACUUGGAUCUGAGAAUUUGGGACUUAGGAGAAAAAAAA
rnacentral:lncRNA from 1 species